UGCAGUUCUCUAUCAAUGAUACGGAAAUCACCACUUAGUCCUGGUUUUAGCUCUGUGUUUUGCAUAGAGUCAAUGAGCAGAGAUCCCACUUCUGAGGUUCUAAGUGCAUCUAGGUCUGUUAAGUUCUCUCUAGUGUCUGGUUUCUUUAAUUUUGGGAUAGCAGUAGUGCCCACUUUCUCUACUGCUUCUGCUAAUAAGGUGAUGCUAUCAUAUGCCCAUAGCCCGAAAACAUUGAGUUCUACUUGGUCCAUGUCUGGAUACUCUUGACGAAAUCUCUUUCUCCAUCUCUUGGUGAACAUGUCAAGCUCAUUUGAUCUUGUAACAUAAGAUUUUACACCCAGAACACCUUGCAUUGAUGACUCAAUUACUGAAGUAUCUACCAGGUUCCAUAGGGGCUUUCCUCAUAGAUUACUACAACCUCCCUCCAAUUAUAGUUUUUAACAAUUGCUGCAAUGGCUUUAGUCUGACUGGAAGAAGGAAGUGCUCCUCUGAUGAAGAAGGGAUUUUCCUUGACUGUAAGUAAAGGACUUGUUGCUGGAGAAAUUAUAGGGACUUUUACUCUGUUCCCUAAGUCGAUCACAAAAUCAGUUUGAGUAGACAUUUGUGGCCCAAAGAUAGCUUGCACUUGGACAUCCUUUAGCAAGUAUAUGGCUGCACAUACACAAUCAGACUUAUAAGUAAUUGUCUGAACAUCUCUUUCAAAAUAGAAAAACUAAAGGGAAAAGUAAUAUCUUAGAGAAAAAGUGAAUCUUUUGAAGCAAAGAGAGAGAGAUAAUGCUAGUUUAACAUAGGUAAAGCUUAGAGCUGAAUUUUACCAGCUGAUGCUGCUUCAACAUCAUCUUUCUUUGAAUCCCUGAUAUGAGGAACUAUCCUUAUGGCACCGCGACUAGUGUUGGCAUGAUAAUCCGCAAGAGCUAGUAAGAUAGAUAUGUGCAUUACUUUUCCUACUUCUGUUUCCAGAUCAAGAAUUAUUCCCACAUCCAUCUUUACAGCACUAGUGUUAUUAUCUUCACCUCUUAUUCCAAUUACAUAGUGGCAAAAACCAAUGAUGGAAACAAGUUGAAUGAAGAUAAUUAGGGAUUUGCAUCUUGGAUUAUGCAUUUGAAAAACUCUAGUAGACAGUAAUAUGAGAGCUGGACAAGAAGCAGUUGUGGUUGUGCAAGAUAUAUAACUAUAACUUUUCUAUAAUUAAAAUAAAACCAUACCUCAUAACUGCAGAAAGAAAAGUCAAAGUUUUUCAAGAAUAACAAAUGGUUUAAAAUAUUACUUCUAGUUUGAUUCUUAAAGAAAGAGGACUUUUCACACUUGUUAGACCACAAGCUAGUAAAGNNNNNNNNNNNNNNNNNNNNNNNNNNNNNNNNNNNNNNNNNNNNNNNNNNNNNNNNNNNNNNNNNNNNNNNNNNNNNNNNNNNNNNNNNNNNNNNNNNNNNNNNNNNNNNNNNNNNNAUUCAUCUUCAGUUUAUGCGAAAUGCCAUCCUUCUCUGUCCAGAAUCCAACGACUUUCUCUCCUUUCCCGAUUAUAUUCACAAUCUGAUAUGGGUACGGCUGCAGUUCUCUAUCAAUGAUACGGAAAUCACCACUUAGUCCUGGUUUUAGCUCUGUGUUUUGCAUAGAGUCAAUGAGCAGAGAUCCCACUUCUGAGGUUCUAAGUGCAUCUAGGUCUGUUAAGUUCUCUCUAGUGUCUGGUUUCUUUAAUUUUGGGAUAGCAGUAGUGCCCACUUUCUCUACUGCUUCUGCUAAUAAGGUGAUGCUAUCAUAUGCCCAUAGCCCGAAAACAUUGAGUUCUACUUGGUCCAUGUCUGGAUACUCUUGACGAAAUCUCUUUCUCCAUCUCUUGGUGAACAUGUCAAGCUCAUUUGAUCUUGGAACAUAAGAUUUUACACCCAGAACACCUUGCAUUGAUGACUCAAUUACUGAAGUAUCUACCAGGUCCAGAAGACUCGUCAGCACAUCAGUGAUGAUCCAUGCAUAUCCACUGUUCAUCAUCCCGGCUUCUUUGGCCUUGAGGAAAAGGCGGGAGGCAAGAUUUUCUUGCAAGUGCACAAUGAACACCCUGGUCUGCAUUGUCUUCAACUUGUAUAGCUCCCUGAGGAUUUGAUCAUCAUUGGCUGAAGGAGAAAUACCACUUCUAUAGGAGACUAAAGUAUUGAUUUCCAGCAAGGCAUCAGUCAAAUAUGGAAGUAUCCCGGUUCCAUAGGGGCUUUCCUCAUAGAUUACUACAACCUCCCUCCAAUUAUAGUUUUUAACAAUUGCUGCAAUGGCUUUAGUCUGACUGGAAGAAGGAAGUGCUCCUCUGAUGAAGAAGGGAUUUUCCUUGACUGAAAGUGAAGGACUAGUUGCUGGAGAUAUUAUAGGAACUCUAACUCUGUUCCCCAAGUCGAUCACAAAAUCAGUUUGUGUAGACAUUUGUGGCCCAAAGAUAGCUUGCACUUGGACAUCCUUUAGCAAGUAUAUGGCUGCACAUACACAAUCAGACUUAUAAGUAAUUGUCUGAACAUCUCUUUCAAAAUAGAAAAACUAAAGGGAAAAGUAAUAUCUUAGAGAAAAAGUGAAUCUUUUGAAGCAAAGAGAGAGAGAUAAUGCUAGUUUAACAUAGGUAAAGCUUAGAGCUGAAUUUUACCAGCUGAUGCUGCUUCAACAUCAUCUUUCUUUGAAUCCCUGAUAUGAGGAACUAUCCUUAUGGCACCGCGACUAGUGUUGGCAUGAUAAUCCGCAAGAGCUAGUAAGAUAGAUAUGUGCAUUACUUUUCCCACAUCUGUUUCCAGAUCAAGAAUUAUGCCCACAUCCACCUUUACAGCACUAGUGUUAUUAUCUUCACCUCUUAUUCCAAUUACAUAGUGGCAAAAGCUAAUGAUGGAAACAAGUUGAAUGAAAAUAAUUAGGAAUCUGCAUCUUGGAUUAUGCAUUUGAAAAACUCUAGUAGACAGUAAUAUGAGAGCUGGACAAGAAGCAGUUGUGGUUGUGCAAGAUAUAUAACUAUAACUUUUCUAUAAUUAAAAUAAAACCAUACCUCAUAACUGCAGAAAGAAAAGUCAAAGUUUUUCAAGAAUAACAAAUGGUUUAAAAUAUUACUUCUAGUUUGAUUCUUAAAGAAAGAGGACUUUUCACGCUUGUUAGACCACAAGCUAGUAAAGCCUCCUCUUCAGUUUUGACCAAAUCAAUAAAUGUCUAAAUGAACAUAGUGACAAAAUUGAUUGGUACGCAUUCUCCCAAUUAUAUAUAACCUAUGACGUUUGUGUAUUUAUUUGAUGACUAUCUAGAGUCUAUUAAAAGGACUUCCCACAUUUUGGCUAAGUCAUGCAUGGUGAAAGUUGAGAGCUAGCUCAGAUACAAAUAAGUAGAAGAGACCAUUGUUUCUAUGACUUGGAAAAGAGUAGCUAUGACUAGUAAUCUUUAGCUUACACGGUUUCAGUUUAGAAUUGGUCAGUAGUAUUAACUUGCUUGCAUUUUUAUUUUAUUUUAAGAUGAGUGGAACUUUUUUUUUUUUUGGCUUUUUCUAAUUGUUAAUCUUAUAUAUUUUUUAAAUUUAUUUGUGAAAUUUGCAUAAAUAGCAAUCUUUUUUAUUUUAAGAUGAGUGGAACUUCUCUUCUUUUUUUUUUUUUGCUUUUUCUAAUUGUUGAUCUUAUAUUUUUUUAAUUAAUUUUUAUUUGUGAGGUUUGCAUAAAUAGCCGAAGAGGUUCAAACCCACAACUCUAGCAUGGGAAAGCAUUCCCAAGACCCCUUCCUUACCACUAAGCCAUCAAUUAGUUUUGUUAAGGGGUUCACAAGUUAAAAUACAUAUAUAUUUAUUUAAUUUUUUAAUACAAGUAGAGGGUUUAUGGAAAAGCUAUUGGGUUCGCCCGAACCCCCACUAAGAUAGGCAUAAAAGUAUCAAUACAUUUAUUUUUAUGAAGGUAAAUACCAUUAGAUGUAACUUUUCAAGAAUGAAAACAUGUAUUAAAACAAAACUGAAAAGAGUAAUAACAUAAGUGAGAAAAAAGACAAGAAAUGUAGAGAGACAAGAGAGAGUUUUCUUAUUCUUCCAAGUAUAAUCAAGUGUUUUUCAAAUCUUCAAGUGCAUAACACAAUCUCAAGACCUCUAUUUAUAUUGUUAUAAAAAGGCAUACAAAGAUAUAACAAUAACCAUGAUAUUAAUUUUUGAGAAUGUAGGGAAGAUCAAGGGAUAACAAUAAACAUGAUAUUAAUUUUUGAGAAUGUAGGGAAGAUCAAGGGGUGUAGAAGAUAAAUGAGGAGAUGGUGAAGGUGCGAGUAUUAUUACAUAUAAUGGUGAAAUUACACCUUGAAGUUAUGGACAUCCACAUUAAUAUAAUAUAUUUACAACAAAACAUUAAUUACAUAUAAAUUAUAACUAAAUUAAAAAUGAUGAGAAAAACAUAAAAAUGCCCCCAAAAAAGGAGAAAAAAAUUAAAUAUGAAUAGAGAUCAUAGAGAGGUGUCACGUCACUUUGUCUAUAUCUAGCUUUAUUUUAUAUAUAUAAGUAAGAAUAGAGGUCAUAGCCUAUAUCUAGCUUUAUUAUAUAUAUAGAUUUUUCUUCAAUUUUUGUUGGUUUUCUCUUUUUAAAUUUAAUUAUGUAAUACGUAAUAAUAAAAAAAAAACAAGAGCCUUAUUUUCCCCCAAUUUUCAUUGGUUUUUUCUUUUUAAAAUUUAUUUAUGUAAAUAUAUUCUUUUUAAAAUUUAUUUAUGUAAUUAUUAUUUUUUUGGAAUAUUUUUAAUAGCUCAAAAAAAAUUAAUACAAUUGAAUGAAAAGAGAAAAUCGGGUUAUUUUAAUCAAAAUUGAACAAUUUGAGUUGAUUUGGGGCUUUCCGUCAAAAGAGGGGUAUAUAUAUGGUGAAAUUAGUAACGGUAGGGAAAAAACUAACUUCACUUUAACGGUAAGGGCAUAGUCAACCAAUAAAACAAAAUUAAGGGGUGUUUUUGACCCUUUUCCCUAAUCUUUUUCAUAGGUAGCAGUGGAUACUGGAUACAUUUGUUAUAGUCAUAUACUCAAUAAUAUAGUAAUUUUUGUUUAUAUUUUUUAUGAACUGAAAUUGCAAGAAUUAUCAUUUAAUAAGCGAGUUUUCAAUUUUUGUUCUUCAACGGUCGAAUUUAUAUCUAGUAAAAUAUAUAUUCUGUAAAGGAGAAAAGUCAUGUAAGGCAUAAGUUGCGGAUAUUAUAAUGCAAGUAUGUAUAUAUAUAUAUCAGAAAAUAAUUUAUCUUGAACACAAAAAUUAAAAAUUAGCACAAAAUAAGGACAAAAGUGCAAUAUAUGUAUAUAUAUGUGUUAUCAGAAAGCUAUUUAUCUUGAACACAAAAAUUAAAAAUUAGCACAAAAUAAGGACAUAAGUGCAAUAUAUGUAUAUAUAUGUGUUAUCAGAAAGUUAUUUAUCUCGAACACAAAAACUAAAAAUUAGCACAAAAUAAGGUCAAAAGUGCAAAAAUUUUAUACUUUCGCUCUCCCGACUCAAGCUAAUACGUUAAAAAUUAAUGGGAAAAUUAUACAUAAUAGUAAAUAUUUAGCCUGUAUUAGGUGAUAUAGCUAUAGUUUUAGAAAAUUGUAAUUCGCGGCUAUAAUUUUUUCAAUUCUUGCUAUUGACCUGAUUUGUAUAAUUCGCAUAAUUUGUAUAAAUCUAGAAUUUGUAUAAUUCGGUUCCUAAUAGUAAAAAUCUAGAAUUGUGUAUAUGUUUACCCUAGUUAUUUGUAUACGAUUUAUUAUUUAUAAUAAAUUACCUUGUUUGUAUAUCGACAAGCGAAAUAUAUAAAUGGAGUUCUGAAAAAUUCAUAAAUGUAUAAAUACAUAAUUUGUAUAUAUUUAUCCUAUUGGUAUAUUCACAAGCGAAAUAUACAAACGUGCAGAAAUAUACAAACCACAGCCUCCAUAUCAAACAGAACUAUAGCUAUGGAGCGCAGUUAUUAGAGCUUUAUUAUGUUUGCUAUUUCUAAAAUUUUCUCAAAAUUAAAAUAGACUAUGUUUUUCGGUCUUAUUUCAAUAGGCUCAUAUGGUAUAUAAUUUGAAAGCCUAGGUUUUUUUUGUUUUUUUAUAUCAAUAUUCUUUCAACUUAGCCGAUUGACAAUUAAUUAAAUCGAUGACAAAAAUAUUGAUUUCGUAAAUUUGAGUGAUGAAAAUCAAAUUAGAAAAGUAACUAACAAAUGGAAUAUUUUAUGUUAGUGAAUGAAUGAAAUUAUAGGCCUCUUAAUUACAAGAUUUAGAUAAUCUUCUUUCUUUUGAAUUAAUUUUUGAGGUGUGAAUUAUACUCAAAAUAUAAUUUAACAUGACAUUAAAGACAAACCUGAUGUGGGCUCCCAGGAAACCAAACAAUUGCGGAGGUGGAAAUUAUUUUCUAUUCAUGAAUGUGAGCAUGUGACACACCGAAUUGGAUCAUUAUUAUAAUGCAAGUAUGUAUAUAUAUAUAUCAGAAAAUAAUUUAUCUUGAACACAAAAAUUAAAAAUUAGCACAAAAUAAGGACAUAAGUGCAAUAUAUGUAUAUAUAUGUGUUAUCAGAAAGUUAUUUAUCUCGAACACAAAAACUAAAAAUUAGCACAAAAUAAGGUCAAAAGUGCAAAAAUUUUAUACUUUCGCUCUCCCGACUCAAGCUAAUACGUUAAAAAUUAAUGGGAAAAUUAUACAUAAUAGUAAAUAUUUAGCCUGUAUUAGGUGAUAUAGCUAUAGUUUUAGAAAAUUGUAAUUCGCGGCUAUAAUUUUUUCAAUUCUUGCUAUUGACCUGAUUUGUAUAAUUCGCAUAAUUUGUAUAAAUCUAGAAUUUGUAUAAUUCGGUUCCUAAUAGUAAAAAUCUAGAAUUGUGUAUAUGUUUACCCUAGUUAUUUGUAUACGAUUUAUUAUUUAUAAUAAAUUACCUUGUUUGUAUAUUGACAAGCGAAAUAUAUAAAUGGAGUUCUGAAAAAUUCAUAAAUGUAUAAUACAUAAUUUGUAUAUAUUUAUCCUAUUGGUAUAUUCACAAGCGAAAUAUACAAACGUGCAGAAAUAUACAAACCACAGCCUCCAUAUCAAACAGAACUAUAGCUAUGGAGCGCAGUUAUUAGAGCUUUAUUAUGUUUGCUAUUUCUAAAAUUUUCUCAAAAUUAAAAUAGACUAUGUUUUUCGGUCUUAUUUCAAUAGGCUCAUAUGGUAUAUAAUUUGAAAGCUUAGGUUUUUUUGUUUUUUUAUAUCAAUAUUCUUUCAACUUAGCCGAUUGACAAUUAAUUAAAUCGAUGACAAAAAUAUUGAUUUCGUAAAUUUGAGUGAUGAAAAUCAAAUUAGAAAAGUAACUAACAAAUGGAAUAUUUUAUGUUAGUGAAUGAAUGAAAUUAUAGGCCUCUUAAUUACAAGAUUUAGAUAAUCUUCUUUCUUUUGAAUUAAUUUUUGAGGUGUGAAUUAUACUCAAAAUAUAAUUUAACAUGACAUUAAAGACAAACCUGAUGUGGGCUCCCAGGAAACCAAACAAUUGCGGAGGUGGAAAUUAUUUUCUAUUCAUGAAUGUGAGCAUGUGACACACCGAAUUGGAUCAUGAAAUCUCAUAUAAAGAAUUUGGAUUUGUACGGUAUAUAUGAGGAUAAUAAUGAAAGAAAUGUCUCACAUCAAUGAUAAAUAAAAUCCUAAGCUUCGUUGUUCAACAAGUGAAUUCAAAUUUUUAGAUUCUUUAAUAUCUUGAUGUUAAACUAAAAAAUAUUGGUUUAUAAUUACUCUUAAUUAUUUAAUUUUUUGUCGGUUUGCUUCACGGGUGUGAUUAGCAAGGGAUAAUCAUUCAUUUUGUGGCAUGUAUAAUUAAUAAUUACUAGUGUAUUUGUCCGCGCUUUGCGUGUGUAUAAAAAAAUAUUAAAUAUAUUUUUAAAUAAUUAAUGUUAUUAUUUGAUAAAUAUUCUAAUAAAUAAUAUAAUAAAAGGGAGAAACACAAAUUAAGUUACGAUUUUGAUAUUAUCUAUUCAGAAAAAUUGUUAAAAAAGUUUCAUGCUACAGUUUCAAUUUAAAAUUGCUGAUAAAAAGAUGAAAAUAUAAAAUUGAUAUGAAAAGCUUUAGUUAAAUAAACAAUCUAAUUAUCAUAGUUUCAUACUAAAUUUCAUGAUUUUAUAGCAAUAUUAUUGAUUCAACCAUUAAUAUUAAAUCUACUUUAUCGUAAAUUAUGUGACUUUCUUUUUUUGUAUAAAUGACUAUAUAAUAGAAAUAAGAAAAUCAAAAUAUAUUUGUGCUAAAUCAUCGUGAGGGAAAAAAUAUUUGAAUUAUAUUCGAACAUAGUUAUACACAAAAUUCAAAAGUUAGAGAUUUUUUUUCGAUAUCCGAUGCUCAUAGUGACACUCAUUUGAUACAUAUUUGUGUCGCAUAAUGAUAUCCGAUGCACGUAGUGACACUCAUUUGAUACAUAUUUGUGUCGCAUAAGAUCCAUUAAUAUUUUAAUUUAUAUUUAAACUUUCAUUCUUAUAGUGUGCAUUGUGAAAAGAGAUACUUAAGUUGCUACAGUGAAACAUUACCGUUGAGGUUAUACUUUUACAAUAAAAAUUAAAUUAAAUUAAACACAUAAUUUUGUCGUAUUAAGAUUAUCAGAUAGUGAUGAAGAAAUAAUUUUUUUACAAAAGAUAUGAGUAUGUAGUGUUCAAGAUGUAGAAAAAGUAUCAAGAGUUAGAUAAAUUUUUUCAAUUUAUAUAUAUAUGUGGGACAAUAAAAGUUUAACAACAUCAAAAUAAUUAUUCCUAUUAUUACAAUUUUAUUGUUGUAAUUAUUAUAAAUAAAUUGGAGCAAUAACUCUCCAAAAGAUAACUCCAUUUUUUGAUGUGGGAAAAAUAAAAUAUUUUUUUUACUUUCAAUAAUAAUAAAUUUAAACACAAAUUUGUUAUUAAAGGAAUUAAAUGAUGAAAUUUAAAAAAUUUCUUGAUAAAUAAGAGAGUUGAAUAAAUUAUUUUUUAGUAUAUAUAUACACACACUUGAUUAUUUUUAGGGAAAAGGGUCAAAAAUAUUCUCAAUUUUAGUUUAUUAGUUAAAUAUACCCCUAUCGUUGAAACAAAGUUAUUCAUACCAUCACCGUUACUAAUUUCACCAUUUAUACCCCUCAAUUUACGGAAAUUCCUAAAUCAAACAAAAUUGACCCGAUUUCUUAAAAAAUGACUCAUUUUCCAUUUUAAACCUAUGACCGACCCAUCUAUCUAUCUUAAACCCAAAAGAAUUUAACCCAUUUUCUAUACCCAUUCUAAAAAGAAAAUUCAUUUGGAGCUACUUGGGAGAAUGAAUUAUAGGUGACAAAAAAGUGUUGAAAUGUAAAAAGAGUGACUCUAGUUUUAAUUAUUAAGUGUACGUGACAAAUUUUUAAUUAAUUUUUAAAAAUAAUUAUAUAGGUCCUCAAGUUUUUAUUUUUACACUUUCACCCAAAUUUAAGUAAACCCCUAAUUUCUAAAAUAGGAAAACCCCCAAAUCAGUUCUUUUUUGUUCUCUCCCAACGUCCCGCUCUUUUCACAUUUUUUUUGCUUCUAAUCUUCAUCACUAGGCGUGACCUGACUUCAAAGACAUUGUCGAGCAGCACCUAAACACACAAAAAUCGAUCCGAUCUAAGCACUUUUAGACGAGUAUGAUGACUCUACUAAUGGAGGAAAGAGAAGAAGGAGAGUGGCAUCGUGGUCGGCCAUGGCCGUUUCCGAAGCAAACUGUCGUCGCCGGAGCUCGAAGCAGACAAUUGGAGAGAAUCAAAGACAUAGAUUUUACCCAAAUAAUUAUAACAAAAAAAAUUAAACCAAUAAAAGAAAAUUCACAACCCCACCCCCUGUAAUGUCUUCCUCAAAGAUCCUACUCAUUUGCAGAAACAUCUACACACCCCAUCCUUCCCUCUAAUUUUUUUCUCCAAACUCUCCAAUUCCUUUUAGUGCGCACACACCUACACACUAUUUCUUUUUUCAUCAUUUUAGUGUAGUAUCUUUAUUCACUAUUAUUAGAAUUUAACUUUGUAAGGGAAUUGGUGAGAUAGGUAAAUGUGCUUCUCACAAAGAUGUCUGCUUUUUGCAGUCAUGCGAAGAGGCAGCGAUGAUGAUGUUCACUUUUUGAGCUAGCUAACUUUGGAAUCUGGAGAAAAAUAAUUUAAAAGGAAGAAUAAAAAAAGUUUGUAGAAAUGGUGGCUAAAGGGUAAGGAAAAUGAGUUAAAUUAUUUUGGGUUUAAGAUAGAUAGAUGGGUCAGGCAUGGGUUUAAAAUGGGAAAUAGGUCAUUUUUUAAUAAAUCGGGUCAAUUUUAUUUGAUUUGGGGAUUUCUGUCAAUUGAGGGGUAUAAACGGUGAAAUUAAUAACGGUGAGGGUAUAAAUAACUUUGUUUUAACGGUAUGGGUAUAUUCAACUAAUAAACUAAAAUUGAGGGGUAUUUUUGACCCUUUUCCCAUAUUUUUAUAAUGCCUUUAUUUAUAGGAUAACAAUAUAAAAUAUCAAAUGAUAUCAUGAACAUGACUAUUAAUAUGAUUUAAGAGAUAUGAUCAAGUCAUGAAAGUAAGGAAAAUAAAGACAAUUAAAUAUCAAAUGAUAUUAUGAACAUAAUUAUUAAUAUAAUUUAGGAGUUAUGAUCAUCAAAAGUCAUGAAAAUAAAAACAAUUAAAAUUUUCUAUUAAAAAAUAUAAAUAAAUGAAGGAAUAUAAUUGACAUAUUCAUUUUUGUACAACAAUAAGAUAUAUAUAAAUAAGAAAAAUUAUCAAAAAAUGAGAAAAAAAGAAGAUAAAUAUGAUUCUUGGCCAAAAAAAUGUGUCACGUCACUUUUCUUUUAUCUAGAUAAUUUAUAUGUUGGUAAAGAAAGUAGAUUGAGAGAGAAAAACAAUUUUACUAAGUCGUUUAUAUCCUAAUCAAGUCUAAAAAUACCCCUCAUUCAUCUAUUGAGCUAAAAAUACCCCUCCAUCCACCUUUUUGGUCCAUCUCUACCCCUUAAAAACUAACAACUACUUUUUAAAAAUUAUUAUUAUUAUUAUUUGUUACGUGUCAUUUUCUUAUUGGAUAAUUAAAUCUCAACCCAUUUAAUUUUCCCCUACCCACCCAUUGUAGUGAACAUGAUCAAACCCAAUUAGAAGACCCAUUAAAAAUAAUUGAUUGAAACUUUCUCCCCUAACCCCAAGCCUCUUUCUUCUUCCCUCUUUUCUUAUUCAAAAAUUUCAAGAUAAUAUUCAAUCAAAUAAUACAAUUUCCGCUGCAAUACUAACUUGAAGUUGAAGGAUUCAAGGAGUAUUGAUUUUUGCAGUCUUCUUUCCAUCACGUAAAAAAAACUACACCAAAAUCUAUCAAAAUUGCACCUGAGCUAUAACAAAACAGAAGCAAACCUGCACCUAUAUUAUACCACAAACUAAAUCAAAACUGUAAAGAAACAGAGGCCAAAAGGCAAUGAAAGUGCACCAUAAUGAGAUUAAAAACUGGACCAAAAUUUGAUGAUAAACAGCACCAAAGCUGGUCCAAAAACGAAAAUAAAAGUGGUUCAAAUUUACUUUAUUAACGAUGGAAUACAUUACAAUGAAAUUUACGAAUUAUUCCAACUCCUUAAACGUAAGAAUAUUAAUCAAACUAAACACAAUUUCACUAUCAUACCAACAAUAAUAGUAAUUAUAAUUAAGAACAUUAUACUAACUAGACACCAUCAACAAAUUUUCAUAUCAUACACUUAUCUAGAUUGCAUUGGACAUUGUAUCAUUUGAUUGAAAGUAGUCUAGAAAUAUUUUGAAUAAGAAAAGAGGGAAGAAGAAAGAGGCUUGGGGUUAGGGGAGAAAGAUUCAAUCAAUUUAUUUUUUAAUGGGUCUUCUAAUUGGGUUUGGGUCAUGUUCACUACAAUGGGUGGGUAGGGGAAAAUUAAAUGGGUUGAGAUUUAAUUUAUCCAAUAGGAAAAUGACAUGUAACAAAUAAUAAUAAUAAUUUUUUAAAAAAAAGUGAUUGUUAGUUUUAAGGGUAAAGAUGGACCAAAAAAGUGGAUGGAGGGGUAUUUUUUAGCCCAAUAGAUGAAUGAGGUAUAUUUUGUCGAGGGGGUUCGGGUGAACACUCUCCCUCCCUUGAUUUGCUCAUUGAUACUAUUAUUGUUAGUGCAAGAGGAAACUGCUAGGGAAGUUGCCUAUGAUCUAUGUUGGAGCAGAUGGGAUAUAAGAUUUUGAUUUGAUGGGUUCAAUUUUUAGAUUCUCAUCAUUGAGCCCGUUAUACUUUGAAAUUAUGGUGGGUUCAUGAUAUUAUAUUAUUAAUUAAAAUUUUAGUGAUUUUUCACAUAUACUUUUAUGAUCUGUGUCAAAAAUGCAAAGCUUAUACUUAUAUUCGCCAUCCGCCCUGUGUAACUGAACAUAUUACUGUUUAUCUUCCAUGUAGCAGUGAUCCUAAAACCUUUCCUUAUNNNNNNNNNNNNNNNNNNNNNNNNNNNNNNNNNNNNNNNNNNNNNNNNNNNNNNNNNNNNNNNNNNNNNNNNNNNNNNNNNNNNNNNNNNNNNNNNNNNNGUUAUUCAGCUGAAGAGGUUAGUUUUACCUUAGAAUUGAUCUUGUGAACAAGAUCAUCAUAGUUUUGAGAAGUUGGGCUAUGUGCUAUUGGAAAUGGAAUAAAUUCGUAAGGGACAUCAUAUUUCAAAGAUAAGAUGACUUCUUUGAAGACAUCUGGCCCUAAACCAGUUGUAAUUACUGCUUGUGUCGUUGGAUCUCUUUCCACUUUAAUGAAUUGCUCCAGCCCUCCUUUGUCUGGAACUCCAACCCUUAACUUCUUCCCACUUGUGGGUAUUUCCCAGCCUCUCGGAACAAUAGUAGAUUCACCAGGCCAAAUGAUGACCCCUAGUUGCUUAUUAUUAGUUUUAGCUGUUUUACCAUUCAUCUUCAGUUUAUGCGAAAUGCCAUCCUUCUCUGUCCAGAAUCCAACGACUUUCUCUCCUUUCCCGAUUAUAUUCACAAUCUGAUAUGGGUACGGCUGCAGUUCUCUAUCAAUGAUACGGAAAUCACCACUUAGUCCUGGUUUUAGCUCUGUGUUUUGCAUAGAGUCAAUGAGCAGAGAUCCCACUUCUGAGGUUCUAAGUGCAUCUAGGUCUGUUAAGUUCUCUCUAGUGUCUGGUUUCUUUAAUUUUGGGAUAGCAGUAGUGCCCACUUUCUCUACUGCUUCUGCUAAUAAGGUGAUGCUAUCAUAUGCCCAUAGCCCGAAAACAUUGAGUUCUACUUGGUCCAUGUCUGGAUACUCUUGACGAAAUCUCUUUCUCCAUCUCUUGGUGAACAUGUCAAGCUCAUUUGAUCUUGUAACAUAAGAUUUUACACCCAGAACACCUUGCAUUGAUGACUCAAUUACUGAAGUAUCUACCAGGUUCCAUAGGGGCUUUCCUCAUAGAUUACUACAACCUCCCUCCAAUUAUAGUUUUUAACAAUUGCUGCAAUGGCUUUAGUCUGACUGGAAGAAGGAAGUGCUCCUCUGAUGAAGAAGGGAUUUUCCUUGACUGUAAGUAAAGGACUUGUUGCUGGAGAAAUUAUAGGGACUUUUACUCUGUUCCCUAAGUCGAUCACAAAAUCAGUUUGAGUAGACAUUUGUGGCCCAAAGAUAGCUUGCACUUGGACAUCCUUUAGCAAGUAUAUGGCUGCACAUACACAAUCAGACUUAUAAGUAAUUGUCUGAACAUCUNNNNNNNNNNNNNAAAUUUAUUUGUGAAAUUUGCAUAAAUAGCAAUCUUUUUUAUUUUAAGAUGAGUGGAACUUUUUUUUUUUUUGGCUUUUUCUAAUUGUUAAUCUUAUAUAUUUUUUAAAUUUAUUUGUGAAAUUUGCAUAAAUAGCAAUCUUUUUUAUUUUAAGAUGAGUGGAACUUUUUUUUUUUUUGGCUUUUUCUAAUUGUUAAUCUUAUAUAUUUUUUAAAUUUAUUUGUGAAAUUUGCAUAAAUAGCAAUCUUUUUUAUUUUAAGAUGAGUGGAACUUCUUCUUUUUUUUUUUGCCUUUUCUAAUUGUUAAUCUUAUAUAUUUUUUAAUUUAUUUGUGAAAUUUGCAUAAAUAGCAAUCUUUUUUAUUUUAAGAUGAGUGGAACUUCUUCUUUUUUUUUUUGCCUUUUCUAAUUGUUAAUCUUAUAUAUUUUUUAAUUUAUUUGUGAAAUUUGCAUAAAUAGCAAUCUUUUUUAUUUUAAGAUGAGUGGAACUUCUCUUCUUUUUUUUUUUUUGCUUUUUCUAAUUGUUGAUCUUAUAUUUUUUUAAUUAAUUUUUAUUUGUGAGGUUUGCAUAAAUAGCCGAAGAGGUUCAAACCCACAACUCUAGCAUGGGAAAGCAUUCCCAAGACCCCUUCCUUACCACUAAGCCAUCAAUUAGUUUUGCUAAGGGGUUCACAAGUUAAUAUACAUAUAUAUUUAUUUAAUUUUUUAAUACAAGUAUAGAGUUUACAUAAAAGCUAUUGGGUUCGCCCGAACCCCCACUAAGAUAGGCAUAAAAGUAUCAAUACAUUUAUUUUUAUGAAGGUAAAUACCAUUAGAUGUAACUUUUCAAGAAUGAAAACAUGUAUUAAAACAAAACUGAAAAGAGUAAUAACAUAAGUGAGAAAAAAAGACAAGAAAUGUAGAGAGACAAGAGAGAGUUUUCUUAUUCUUCCAAGUAUAUUCAAGUGUUUUCCAAAUCUUCAAGUGCAUAAUACAAUCUCAAGACCUCUAUUUAUAUUGUUAUAAAAAGACAUACAAAGAGAUAACAAUAAACAUGAUAUUAAUUUUUGAGAAUGUAGGGAAGAUCAAGGGGUGUAGAAGAUAAAUGAGGAGAUGGUGAAGGUGUGAGUAUUAUUACAUAUAAUGGUGAAAUUACACCUUGAAGUUAUGGACAUCCACAUUAAUAUAAUAUAUUUACAACAAAACAUUAAUUACAUAUAAAUUAUAACUAAAUUAAAAAUGAUGAGAAAAACAUAAAAAUGCCCCCAAAAAAGGAGAAAAAAAUUAAAUAUGAAUAGAGAUCAUAGAGAGGUGUCACGUCACUUUGUCUAUAUCUAGCUUUAUUUUUAUUUUAUAUAUAUAUAUAUAUAUAUAUAUAAGAAUAGAGGUCAUAGCCUAUAUCUAGCUUUAUUAUAUAUAUAGAUUUUUCUUCAGUUUUUGUUGGUUUUCUCUUUUUAAAUUUAUUUAUGUAAUACGUAAUAAUAAUAAUAAUAAAAGAGCCUUAUUUUCCCCCAAUUUUCAUUGGUUUUUUCUUUUUUAAAAUUUAUUUAUGUAAAUAUAUUCUUUUUAAAAUUUAUUUAUGUAAUUUUAUUUUUUUUGGAAUAUUUUUAUAUCUAUUAUAUUUUUAAUAGCUCAAAAAAUAUUAAUUCAAUUGAAUGAAAAGAGAAAAUCGGGUUAUUUUAAUCAAAAUUGAACAAUUUGAGUUGAUUUGGGGCUUUCCGUCAAAUGAGGGGUAUAUAUGGUGAAAUUAGUAACGGUAGGGAAAAAACUAACUUCACUUUAACGGUAAAAGCAUAGUUUACCAAUAAAACAAAAUUAAGGGGUGUUUUUGACCCUUUUCCCUUAUCUUUUUCAUAGGUAGCAGUGGAUACUGGAUACAUUUGUUAAAGUCAUAUACUCAAUAAUAUAGUAAUUUUUGUUUAUAUUUUUUAUGAACUAAUGAAAUUGCAAGAAUUAUCACUUAAUAAGCGAGUUUUCAAUUUUUGUUCUUCAACGGUCGAAUUUAUAUCUAGUAAAAUAUAUAUUCUGUAAAGGAGAAAAGUCAUGUAAGGCAUAAGUUGCGGAUAUUAUAAUGCAAGUAUGUAUAUAUAUAUAUCAGAAAAUAAUUUAUCUUGAACACAAAAAUUAAAAAUUAGCACAAAAUAAGGACAAAAGUGCAAUAUUUGUAUAUAUAUGUGUUAUCUGAAAGUUAUUUAUCUUGAACACAAAAAUUAAAAAUUAGCACAAAAUAAGGACAUAAGUGCAAUAUAUGUAUAUAUAUGUGUUAUCAGAAAGUUAUUUAUCUCGAACACAAAAACUAAAAAUUAGCACAAAAUAAGGUCAAAAGUGCAAAAAUUUUAUACUUUCGCUCUCCCGACUCAAGCUAAUACGUUAAAAAUUAAUGGAAAAAUUAUACAAAAUAGUAAAUAUUUAGCCUGUAUUAGGUGAUAUAGCUAUAGUUUUAGAAAAUUGUAAUUUGCGGCUAUAAUUUUUUCAAUUCUUGCUAUUGACCUGAUUUGUAUAAUUCGCAUAAUUUGUAUAAAUCUAGAAUUUGUAUAAUUCGGUUCCUGAUAGUAAAAAUCCAGAAUUUUGUAUAUGUUUACCCUAGUUAUUUGUAUACGAUUUAUUAUUUAUAAUAAAUUACCUUGUUUGUAUAUUGACAAGCGAAAUAUAUAAAUGGAGUUCUGAAAAAUUCAUAAAUGUAUAAUACAUAAUUUGUAUAUAUUUAUCCUAUUGGUAUAUUCGCAAGCGAAAUAUACAAACCACAGCCUCCAUAUCAAACAGAACUAUAGCUAUGGAGCGCAGUUAUUAGAGCUUUAUUAUGUUUGCUAUUUCUAAAAUUUUCUCAAAAUUAAAAUAGACUAUGUUUUUCGGUCUUAUUUCAAUAGGCUCAUAUGGUAUAUAAUUUGAAAGCCUAGGUUUUUUUUGUUUUUUUAUAUCAAUAUUCUUUCAACUUAGCCGAUUGACAAUUAAUUAAAUCGAUGACAAAACUAUUGAUUUCGUAAAUUUGAGUGAUGAAAAUCAAAUUAGAAAAGUAACUAACAAAUGAAAUAUUUUAUGUUAGUGAAUGAAUGAAAUUAUAGGCUUCUUAAUUACAAGAUUUGGAUAAUUUUCUUUCUUUUGAAUUAAUUUUUAAAGUGUGAGUUGUACUCAAAAUCUAAUUUAACAUGACAUUAAAGACAAACCUGAUGUGGGCUCCCAGGAAACCAAACAAUUGCGGAGGUGGAAAUUAUUUUCUAUUCAUGAAUGUGAGCAUGUGACACACCGAAUUGGAUCAUGAAAUCUCAUAUAAAGAAUUUGGAUUUGUACGGUAUAUAUGAGGAUAAUAAUGAAAGAAAUGUCUCACAUCAAUGAUAAAUAAAAUCCUAAGCUUCGUUGUUCAACAAGUGAAUUCAAAUUUUUAGAUUCUUUAAUAUCUUGAUGUUAAACUAAAAAAUAUUGGUUUAUAAUUACUCUUAAUUAUUUAAUUUUUUGUCGGUUUGCUUCACGGGUGAGCAUGUAUAAUUAAUUACUAGUGUACUUGUCCGCGCUUCGCGUGUGUAUAAGAAAAUAUUAAAUAUAUUUUUAAAUAAUUAAUGCCAUUAUUUGAUAAAUAUUCUUAUAAAUAAUAUAAUAAAAGGGAGAAAUACAAAUUAAGUUACGAUUCUGAUAUUAUCUAUUCAGAAAAAUUGUUAAAAAAGUUUCAUGCUACAGUUUCAAUUUAAAAUUGCUGAUAAAAAAGAUGAAAAUAUAAAAAUUGAUAUGAAAAGCUUUAGUUAAAUAAACAAUCUAAUUAUCAUAGUUUCAUACUAAAUUUCAUGAUUUUAUAGCAAUAUUAUUGAUUCAACCAUUAAUAUUAAAUCUACUUUAUCGUAAAUUAUGUGACUUUUCUUUUUUUGUAUAAAUGACUAUAUAAUAGAAACAAGAAAAUCAAAAUAUAUUUGUGCUAAAAUCAUCGUGAGGGAAAAAAUAUUUUGAAUUAUAUUCGAACAUAGUUAUACACAAAAUUCAAAAGUUAGAGAUUUUUUUUCGAUAUCCGAUGCUCAUUUUUUUUUUGAUAUCCGAUGCACGUAGUGACACUCAUUUGAUACAUAUUUGUGUCGCAUAAGAUCCAUUAAUAUUUUAAUUUAUAUUUAAACUUUCAUUCUUAUAGUGUGCAUUGUGAAAAGAGAUACUUAAGUUGCUACAGUGAAACAUUACCGUUGAGGUUAUACUUUUACAAUAAAAAUAAAAUAAAAUUAAACACAUAAUUUUGUCGUAUUAAGAUUAUCAGAUAGCGAUGAAGAAAUAUUUUUUUUUAAAAAAAAAUGAGUAUGUAGUGUUCAAGAUGUAGAAAAAGUAUCAAGAGUUAGAUAAAUUUUUUCAAUUUAUAUAUAUAUAUGGGACAAUAAAAGUUUAACAACAUCAAAAUAAUUAUUCCUAUUAUUACAAUAUUAUUGUUGUAAUUAUUAUAAAUAAAUUGGAGCAAUAACUCUCCAAAAGAUAACUCCAUUUUUUGUAUGUGGGAAAAUAAAAUAAUUUUUUUACUUUUCAAUAAUAAUAAAUUUUAAACACAAAUUUGUUAUUAAGAGAAUCAAAUGAUGAAAUUUAAAAAAUUUACUUGAUAAAUAAGAGAGUUGAAUAAAUUAUUUUUUAGUAUAUAUAUAUAUACACACACACUUGAUUAUUUUUAGGGAAAAGGGUCAAAAAUAUCCUCAAUUUUAGUUUAUUAGUUAAAUAUACCCCUAUCGUUGAAACAAAGUUAUUCAUACCAUCACCGUUACUAAUUUCUCCAUUUAUACCCCUCAAUUGACGGAAAUCCCUAAAUCAAACAAAAUUGACUCGAUUUCUUAAAAAAUGACUCAUUUUCCAUUUUAAAACCAUGUCCGACCCAUCUAUCUAUCUUAAACCCAAAAGAAUUUAACCCAUUUUCUAUACCCAUUCUAAAAAGAAAAUUCAUUUGGAGCUACUUCUCCAAUUGCGUUUUAGGUGACAAAAAAGUGUUGAAAUGUAAAAAGAGUGACUCUAGUUUUAAUUAUUAAGUGUAGGUGACAAAUUUUUAAUCAAUUUUUAACAAUAAUUAAAUAAGUCCUCAAGUUUUUGUUUUUACACUUUCAUUUUUUGGAGCAAUAAUUUUGUUNNNNNNNNNNNNNNNNNNNNNNNNNNNNNNNNNNNNNNNNNNNNNNNNNNNNNNNNNNNNNNNNNNNNNNNNNNNNNNNNNNNNNNNNNNNNNNNNNNNNNNUGACUUCAAAGACAUUGUCGAGCAGCACCUAAACACACAAAAAUCGAUCCGAUCUAAGCACUUUUAGACGAGUAUGAUGACUCUACUAAUGGAGGAAAGAGAAGAAGGAGAGUGGCAUCGUGGUCGGCCAUGGCCGUUUCCGAAGCAAACCGUUGUCGCCGGAGCUCGAAGCAGACAAUUGGAGAGAAUCAAAGACAUAUAUUUUACCCAAAUAAUUACAACAAAAAAAAUUAAACCAAUAAAAGAAAAUUCACAACCCCCACCCCCUGUAAUGUCUUCCUCAAAGAUCCUACUCAUUUGCAGAAACAUCUGCACACCCCAUCCUUCCCUCUAAUUUUUUUCUCCAAACUCUUCGAUUCGUUUUAGUGCGCACACACCUACACACUAUUUCUUUUUUCAUCAUUUUAGAGUAGUAUCUUUAUUCACUAUUAUUAGAAUUUAACUUUGUAAGGGAAUUGGUGAGAUAGGUAAAUGUGCUUCUCACAAAGAUGUCUGCUUUUUGCAGUCAUGAGAAGAGGCAGCGAUGAUGAUGUUCACUUUUUGAGUUAGCUGACUCUGGAAUUUGGGGAAAAUAAUUUAAAAGGAAGAGUAAAAAAAGUUUGUAGAAAUGGUGACUAAAGGGCAAGGAAAAUGAGUUAAAUUAUUUUGGGUUUAAGAUAGAUGGAUGGAUCAGGCAUGGGUUUAAAAUGGGGGAUGGGUCAUUUUUUAACAAAUCGGGUCAAGUUUGUUUGAUUUGGGGAUUUCUGUCAAUUGAGGGGUAUAAAUGGUGAAAUUAAUAACGACGAGGGUAUAAAUAACUUUGUUUUAACGGUAUGGGUAUAUUCAACUAAUAAACUAAAAUUGAGGGGUAUUUUUGACCCUUUUCCCAUAUUUUUAUAAUGCCUUUAUUUAUAGGAUAACAAUAUAAAAUAUCAAAUGAUAUCAUGAACAUGACUAUUAAUAUGAUUUAAGAGAUAUGAUCAAGUCAUGAAAGUAAGGAAAAUAAAGACAAUUAAAUAUCAAAUGAUAUUAUGAACAUAAUUAUUAAUAUAAUUUAGGAGUUAUGAUCAUCAAAAGUCAUGAAAAUAAAAACAAUUAAAAUUUUCUAUUAAAAAAUAUAAAUAAAUGAAGGAAUAUAAUUGACAUAUUCAGUUUUGUACAACAAUAAGAUAUAUAUAAAUAAGAAAAAUUAUCAAAAAAUGAGAAAAAAAGAAGAUAAAUAUGAUUCUUGGCCAAAAAAAUAUGUCACGUCACUUUUCUUUUAUCUAGAUAAUUUAUAUGUUGGUAAAAAAAGUAGAUUGAGAGAGAAAAACAAUUUUACUAAGUCGUUUAUAUCCUAAUCAAAUACUUUUGCAUUUUGAGUUCAGACCAGGUCAUAGCAGUAAUUUCUGAAAUUUCAAAAACUUAAGAACUUAUAACAAUAACAAUAAAAAAAAUUAAAAUAUGAAGAUCACAAAGUUACGUAUUAAUAGUUAAAAAAAAUUUAUGAAUUAAACUGUAUUUUGAAAAUUAAUUAACUUUAACAUUCUCAUAUUCUAUCAUUCAUCUAUUGGGCUAAAAAUACCCUUGAAGUAUUAGAAAAGGUCUAAAAAUACCCCUCCAUCCGCCUUUUUGGUCCAUCUCUAUCCUUAAAACUAACAGUCACUUUUAAAAAAAUUAUUAUUAUUAUUAUUUGUUACAUGUCAUUUUCUUAGUGGAUAAAUUAAAUCCCAGCCCAUUUAAUUUUCCCCUACCCACCCAUUGUAGUGAACAUGAUCAAACCCAAUUAGAAGACCCAUUAAAAAAUAAAUUGAUUGAGAUUUAAUUUAUCCAAUAGGAAAAUGACAUGUAAUAAAUAAUAAUAAUAAUAAUAAAAAAUUAAAAAGUGGUUGUUAGUUUUAAAGGUAGAGAUGGACCAAAAAAGUGGAUGGAGGGGUAUUUUUAGCCCAAUAGAUGAAUGAAUGGUAUUUUUAGACCUUUUCAAAUAAUUCAAGGGUAUUUUUGGCCCUUUUCUGUAAUUAAUAAAAAGUUGAUCCACAUAACUAUAAAAUUAUAUCUACAUACUUUCUUCAGUAGCAUACAUAUACAUGUAUAAGGGUGUAUAAAACCGAAUCGAAAACCUAACCAAACCGCAAACCGAGUCAACCCGGAAAAAAAACCCGAACUAGUGGUUUGGUUUUUGAAAAAAAAAACCCCGAACUAUAUUUGGGAUUGGUUUGGUUUUAACUAAAAAAAACCAACCCGACAUUAUAUAUAUAAUUUUAAAAUUUUAUUUUAUACAUAAAAAUAUUUACUUUGAUAUAAUUUUUAAAUAUUUCUUAUACUUUUUCAUAAUUUUUUAUCUUUUAUUAUAUUAUUUCAAGUUUUGAAACUUAGAAUUAUGAAUGGGCCAAUAAAAAUUAUAGUUCACAGAUGUUGGUAAUUGCCUAAUUAUAAUAAAGCUUAAAUCAAAAUUAAAUUAAUACUAAUGCAAAAAUAAAAUCAUUUCAACACGACAAUAAUAUUGAAUAUUUGUUCUUUAGUUUUACAUUGGUUUAGACAAUUAAAAUACAUAACCUAAUUUAAUUUCCUUUAAAUAUUUAGUCAUGUAACUAAUACUUAUUAAAUUUAUUUUUAGCAUGCUUUAGUACUUUUAAAUUAUGAUCAUUUUCAUUAUGACUUGUUAAUUUGCAAUAUUUGUUUUACACGAUUUCAUUAUUAUUAUUAUUUUUGUUGGAUAUUUUAGUGUCAUUAAUCAUAUUAUAUUGUAGUAUAUUUUUAAGAAACAUCUUAGAUAGUUGUAGUUUGGUAUGGCUAAAGAAAUAUUUGAAGUACAAGUAAAUUAUAUGUUUGUAUGAAUACUUUACCGAAACAACCCAAAAAACCGAAAAAACCUGAAAAACCCAAGGUUGAAAAACCCGAGUUUUAUUGGUUUGGUUUAUAAAUAUAAAAAUCCAACACAAAUGGUUUGGUUUGAUAUUUGAAAAACCCGAACCAACCCGACCAUGUACACCCCUAUACAUGUAUAUGUUAACUUCUUAUUCUACUUUGUUGAAUUAUAUCCUCAGCAUAAGUAGUGAAGACAAAACAAAGUAAUAAUAAAAUGACGGAAUGACCUGGGAGACCCAUGUACUUAGCUCCGUUUGUAAGUUGAACCCUCCUACUUAUCAAUUUGUCAACUGAACCCCUAAACCCAUCAGAACACAAUAUUUUAAACCCAUUUGACCAUUAACCGAACUUAUGUAGCAUUGAUAAUGCUGAGUUGGAAAAUUACGUAAUUACAUACGUUUGACAGUGAGUAAAUAAGGUAUUUUACAUUAAAAAUAUUUAAAUAAUAAUAAUCAAUUUAAAAAAAAUAAUUAAAAACCCAUCUUCCUCAACCAUCCCUCUCCAACCCCACUCCACCCCUCUCUCCUCCGUCCGAACCCAUAAACUCAUCAUAACACAAUAUUUUAAACCUCUUAGACCAUUGACUGAACUUAUGUAGCAUUGAUAAUGCUGAGUUGGGAAAUUACGUGAUUACAUGCGUUUGACAGCAAGUAAAUAAGGUAUUUUAAAUUAAAAAUAGAGUAAAGACAUAAAUACACCAUCAAAGUUGUCCCGUAUUUUCAUAAUGACACCUUAACUUUUAAAGUGUCCUAUCACACCACAGAACUAUUUAAUAUCUUUGUAAAUGGGCCAUUUUGACCCAUUCCCUCGUCUAUUUAGUGGCGCGUGUUGCUCACUCCCUAUGAUGAGAAAAGACCCGACCCGACCCUGUUCUUUGAAGAAAGUCAUUUCUCCUUUUCUUUUCUUAUUUCUCAACUUUCCCUAAAAUCUAAAGAAAUAGAAAAGUUUUCUCAACAACUUUAAGUAUGAGUGAAAUAGGUCUAAAAAUAGAGGAGAUUAGAUAAAGGAUUCAAUCCAAUUACUUUGGAAGUGGGUCCUGAAUCUUUGUUGCAUCAUUGCAGCUUCGAGGGAUCCUAAGUUUCCAUACACUAAGAACCAUUGAUUCUUAGGUGAAGUAAUACAAUGGCCGGUUUAAAACACGGGGCAAGAUCUAGUACAGGUGUAAGGGUUGAUUAACAUAUUAAGCAUGCAUGGAUUAAUACUUCUCUACACCGCAUAGAAUCUCAAUUUCCAGGAGCACACAACAUGAUGGAAGCGGAGCCCUCCCCAUUGGACAAAAUGAAAAAAUAAAUGUUAAUGCUGUUAUACCCCAUUUUAACUCGAGGUCAAAACGGUGUACGACAUUUUGGUGAUUUCCAAAUUAAUUAACUUAAGAAGUCGCCACCUAAUUAAUUACGGUGAAUUAGGACACCUAAAUAUUGAACUAAGUAAUACUAAAAUGACUUCAAUUAAAAGGUCUACUAAACUUAAGAUUCUAGGUAAGGGUUCUAAUUAUCCUAAAGGGAAGGGGUAAGGCAUCCUUUAAGAUCCAUUAAAGACGGUUACCGGCCAAACUUAGGUUAAUUAAUUUUAAAAGAAAGAUAUGAGUGUUAAAUAUUAAGUGAUUGAAUAACCAAGUUGGAAAACAUUUUUUACUUUAAAAGCACUUUUGCAAUUUAUUAGAAUGAAAAAGAUUUAAGAAAGAGUAAUUUCUUUAGAUCAAUUUAGACAAAUUCAUGGCUAAAAAAAGUAAUUAAAAAAAAAAAAAAAAAAAAAAAAGCAUUUGCUCAUUAACCGACAAGAUGCUCUCUUUAGAAAAAGUUUAAGAAAAAUAAGAGUUUAGAACAAUAUAUUUUUUCUUUGAAAGAUAUUGCCAAGUUUGAACAAAACUUAAUAAAUUAGUGAGUUUAAAAUGGUGCAAAAGAAGUGUUUUAAAAAAAAAAAGCUAAAGUAACUAUAAAGGUUGUUUCUAACUAAAGGUACCCAAACCCAAACAUCUAUAUUAAGUCAACUAUUAUGAAUCCGAACUAGAAAUAUAUAAAUCACACAAGCAAGUAUAAAUUGAAAGAAAACACAAACAAAUAAUGCAAAAUGUAAGUAGCGAUAGGUGACUCCAAGAUAGGACCACUUGUUUUGCUUGCAAUUUCGAAUGGUCAAAGAUGUAGUGAAGAUUCCAUGUGCGGGUGUGAGGAUAAUGUUGAGUCUAUGAGACUCGGUAAUUUGCUAGAGUCUUGAAUCAAAGACUCCAUUUUGCUCCAAAGUGUACAUGUAAAUAAAGAGAGGGUAAAAAAGAAUUGGUAAGACAAUUAAACCUUACUCGAUAUCGAAUAAACUAGAAAUAGAAUUGAGUUAAAUAGCAUAACGAAAAUACCAUCCAAAACAUGAAAACAUGCAAAUGCGAAACAAAUCUCAAAGCAAACUACUACGACGCCUUUAAGGCACAAAAAAAAACAAUACACAACCCCUCAUAUUUAAGCUACAAACGAACUACUCGUUAAAGACUUGAAUUUAAAAAAAAUACUUAUGCCAUAAGUUUUCCAGAUUUAUACAUGCUGUAAUACUAUUACUUAAACUAAAAAAAAUAAAAACAAAAUACAUACACAAUACAAUUAACAAAAGAGCACAAAACAUAAGUUAGUACUUGUAUGCAAAAAGUAAGUUGCACGAGAAUUCCUACAGACGUAACUCUUAAUAAGAGAGCACUUAGUUGCUAACCAUUUUUUAUAUAUUUUACAGUCAUCUUCCUUAAGCAUGCUAUACAUAGGAAAAUAUGAACAUUGAAAUUUUAACAUAUAAGCACACGAAAUAAAUCAUUUAAACUGAGAACGAAACAGCAACAACACAACCCAUAUAAAUCGAACUAUGAGACUAAGUCAUUAACAAAAUAUUUAAAUCCAAAGCUAAGCCAUUCUUUAAACUCAAGGUCUAGUAAAUGAGGGGAAAACAAUUUCUGAUCUGUAUAAAUCUCAAAAGGAUACAAACACAUUUUUUAACAAUCAACAUAUAAUAAUAGCGAACUAAAUAAUAUUAGUUCGAGUAGAAUUUGAGAGAAACUUAAAAGCUUAUAAGAUACAGGGUGCGAAGCUGCUGUAGUGUAUCCGCGAUUAGAGCUUAUAUUUUUUUAAAAAAAUAAUGAUAUGGUCUGUACCAUAUUUUAACUAAAACAAAACAAAUAUUAUAUUCCUUGAACACGUUUUUACAUAGGAAUGCAUACAUAUAUCAAAUGAUCAGAACUUGGAGUAAGAAUUAAUGUAUAUGACCUAAAAUACAACCAUUUCCAUGUAAUAAAUAAAUUUAUAUCUCAAACGAAAACACAAAUACAAUUAUCAAAUAACUUUGAAUACAGUUAAACUAGGCAGGAAUUACUCUCUACAUACAAAUUUGUUAGAGUAACAUAACAUUUUCCCACAGAAACAAAACAGAGGAAGAAAAAGAGAAUGUCACCUGCUAUAGGGCAGUGAACGGGGCUGUUUCGAUCAAAUGUCUAUAUUCGAACAAUAACGAACUCAAGGAAGCUUGAAACUUGAGUUUCGAUCGAGAUUUAAAGAAGGAUGCAAAGACAAUAUUUUAGAAAAGAAAAUAGUAGUUAAACAAUGCUAUGGUGCAAGGAAAAGCUUUUUAAGAAUGAAUGCCAAGGCUUCUAUGGAGGCUGAAAAAUCCUCUUUUUUUUUUUUGCUAAAGAUAUAAGGAUGUAUUUAUAGAAAAAAUUAGGGUUCUUCAUUGUGUUGAGCGGGAAUAGAUUUUGAACUUUCAAAUUAGUCAAAAAGUCUUCAAAUCCGACCGUUUGAAGCUUGAAACAGACAUCACGUGAUACCUUGGAGAAAGAGACAAGUUUUGCUUGGAAUGGACCAAGCAAAGUCUGUCCAUGGCUGAAGAGAAACGAAACUUUAGCCAAAAAUGGAGGAGAAAAGACAGACAUCGAGUAAAGAGAAAAGACCUAAAUGAUUUCGGGUCUUGAGCCAUUUUACUGAUGAAUGAACAUUGGGUUGGGCUGGUGCUAAAUUUUCUUUUGUGGGCUGAUCUGAAAGUUCCGUUGGGCCAUAUUUUGGAGUGGAUUUGGGCUCGUUUUGCUGGACCAAUUUUGGGCUGAAUUUUGAAGGUCUUUUCUCUUCUUUCUUUGUAUUAUUUUGGGCUUCUAAAUUAAUAAUUAAUACAAUAUCUAUUAUGAUAUGAUAACAACUAGAAAUUUACAUAAUAAAAAUAUCACUAAUAUAAAAUAUAUAUACGAAAUAUUAAAUAAUAAUUAAUUUAAUAAAUACGAAACUAGAAAUAAGAUGACGACAAUUGGUUAUUUAAGAAAAGAGAUGUAAAAAAGUGAUAAUAAUCAUUUCGAUAAUAAAAACCUAUAAUUUUAGUAGAUUAAUAGUUGUAAUAGUAAAAAUAGUUGUGAAAAGAGAUAAUUCGAUACAUUAUUAAUUUAGAAGCUUGAAAAUGAUAAAUUAGAAGAAAGGAGGGUCAAAAUUGGGUGUCAACAAUGUUCCCUUUGUUGUUUUCCUAAUAUUGGUAGUUGAGAUAUUGUUAGGAUAUUAUAGUUUUUCGUUGUUACAGGUUGAUCUUGCUUGGAAAAAACCAUGAAAUCAAAAAAUUAGGGCUAUUUUGGGUUUAAAAUUGGGGAAGAUGACAUAAAUUGAUUAUAUAAUUAAUAAUAAAGAAAGCUAAUGACACGUGGCACUUUUAAAUUGGUCCAUGGCAGUGAAAGCACGGAAUGACGCGCCUCACGUGCAUGGUAACAACCCAGACGAGGGAAUGGGUCAAAAUGGCCCAUUUACAAUGAUAUUAAAUAGUUCUGUGGGGUGAUAGGACACUUUGAAAGUUAAGAUGUCUUUAUGCAAAUACGGGACAACUUUGAUUGUGUCUUUAUGUCUUUUCUCUUAAAAAUAUUUAAAUAAUAAUAAUCAAUUUUAAAAAAUAAUUAAAAACCCAUCUUCCUCAACCAUCCCCCUCCCACCCCUCUCUCCUCCGUCUGAACCCCUAAACUCAUCAAAAUACAAUAUUUUAAAUCUCUUUGACCAUUGACCGAACUUAUGUAGCAUUGAUAAUGCAGAGUUGGAAAAUUACGUGAUUACACGCUUUGACAACGAGUAAAUAAGGUAUUUUAAAUUAAAAAUAUUUAAAUAAUAAUAAUCAAUUUUAAAAAAAUAAUUAAAACCCAUCUUUCUCAACCAUCCCUCUCCCAUCCUACCCCACCCCUCUCUCCUUCGUCUGAACCCCUAAACUCAUCAGAACACAAUAUUUUAAACCCCUUUGACCAUUGACCGAACUUAUGUAGCAUUGAUAAUGUUGAGUUGGAAAAUUACGUGAUUACACACGUUUGACAGAGUAAAUAAGAUAUUUUACAUUAAAAAUAUUUAAAUAAUAAUAAUCAAUUUAAAAAGGAUAAUUAAAAAUGCAUCUUCCUCAACCAUCCCUCUCCCACACCACCCUACCCCUCUCUCCUCCGUCCGAACCCCUAAACUCAUCAGAACACAAUAUUUUAAACGCCCUUGACCAUUGACCGAACUUAUGUAGCAUUGAUAAUGUUGAGUUGGAUAAUUAUGUGAUUACACGCGUUGUCAGCGAGUAAUAAGGUAUUUUACAUUAAAAUUAUUUAAAUAAUAAUAAUCAAUUUUAAAAAAUAAUAAUUAAAAACCCAUCUUCCUCAACCAUCCCUCUCCCACCCCACCCCUCUCUCCUCCUAUUUGUUUUUUUUUUUCUAAAAAAAAUUUUGGGCUUUGCCCGAGGAGAUGUAUGGGGUGCAAUUGUCUCUCUUUCAAGUUUAUUAAUAAAAAAAAAUACCACAAUUGUUUUAAAAAAAAAAAAAAAACACCACCCCUCUAUCCUCCGUACCCCCCCCCCUCCCCGCCUCUCCUCUUCUUCUUCUUCUCUUGGAAUUUCAUCCACCACACUCACUCUCCUUCAUCCACCUCCUUCUUAACCCACACUUCUUUUUCAUUACAAAUCAACCGUCCACCCUAACCACUUAGUCUAAAAGUCUUUUAGAUUCUAGCUUUUUAGUCUAAAAGUAUUGAGAUAUUAUUAGUUUUAUUUGGCAUCAAAAAAGAGGUCUAAGUAUGGAUUAACACGAAAGAUAAUGGUGGAUAUUGAAAAAUUAAAACUCCAUUGAUAAGUUAGAGAAAGCUUGAAAUUUAUAAGAUAUAUUAGAACUAUAUAAAAAAAAAUAUCACAUAUACCAAUCAAUUGUGUAUACUACAAACAAUUAUACUUCUCUUUCAAAAUUUAGUUACUCAAUAUUACUUGCAAGUUUUAGUAGCAUCUAUAUCAUUUAAUUUUUUUGUACUAAUUAACACAGGACACACAUGCAACGCACGUGCCUAGAGACUAGUUUAUAUAUGUACAUAAACUUAGAAAAUAUAUCCAAUAUAUACAUCUUAAUUUUUUGUCGAGGGGGUUCGGGUGAACACUCUCCCUCCCUUGAUUGGCUCAUUGAUACUAUUAUUGUUAGUGCAAGAGGAAACUGCUAGGGAAGUUGCCUCUGAUAUAUGUUGGAGCAGAUGGGAUAUAAGAUUUUGAUUUGAUGGGUUCAAUUUUUAGGUUCUUAUCAUUGAGCCCGUUAUACUUUGAAAUUAUGGGUUCAUAUUCUAUUAUUAAUUAAAAUUUUAGUGAUUUUUCACAUAUACUUUUAUGAUCUGUGUCGAAAAUGCAAAUCUUAUACUUAUAUUCGCCAUCCGCCCUGUGUAACUGAACAUAUUACUGUUUGUCUUCCAUGUAACAGUGAUCCUAAAACCAUUCCUUAUUUAUGAUCUGUAACUAUGGUCGUUAUCUGCUAAUAGCUUCGGAUGUUCUUGUCCUCUAGGCUAGUUCUUGGACCUGCAUUAUAAAUUCACUACUACUAUAUCUUUCUUUCUUAUUGCAUUUGGGAUUUGCAGAUUGCUCUUUGUUAUCAAAACAUUGCACAAAUCUCUCAUGUGGUCAUUCACAUAUAACCCCAUUAUUUCAUAUUCUAUAUAAGAAUUAUGUAAUCAAAAAUAAUUUAGCAUCUUAUUUGUAGAUUUUGUUCUGUUAUUGUAACAUAACAAAACUACCUCAUUUGAAUUUCUUGAAAACGGAUGCAUGUAUUGAAUUCUUUCAUGCCACACAUAUUUCUUUAAAUUAUUCCAAACAUAAGUACAACAACAACAACAUAAGUAGUGAUGAAAAAACAAAGUGAACAUAAAAUUGCUAAAGAAACAACUAAGAAAAAGUAAGGGUUGAAUCCAUCUAAUGGAAUCCUGGAGGCCACCUCUUGAUGCUAAUACAAAGCGCUUUCAAUGGUGAUGAAAGAGGAUUAUGGCCAAGAGUGACAAAGAAAUAGUGUAAUCGGAUUUAACUAACCCUAAAGCUAGCUCAUCUCUGUACAAUCUCUUGUAGGGCCCUAUUCAGGUGUGCCACAAUUAUGUUAGCAGCUAUAUAUCUCAUCUUUCUUCAAUUGUGCCUGACAUUGUUUCAUGAACUGGAGUUCCAGGUUCUGUUGUAGAGAACCCUUCAGAAGCAGGGGAUUCUCCUAGGCCAUCGGAGAUUCCGAUUUCUGGGCUUUCCAAAGGUAGGUUGGGCGAUAAUUCAAUAGAAGCAUCACUUUCUGCAAACACUGUAGCCGUUAGGCUUUCAUUCCCUUCAGAUGGCUUUUUUGACAUAGAAUUAGAGUCGUCUCUCUUUAAAUCAAAGACUUUUGCUAUUGCACAAAGCUUUUUUCCUAUUGAAUCAUCAGUGACUAAGAUUUCUCUAUUCUGAUAAAGGAAGAUGAGGAAGAAUAGGAGAAGAGAGGAGCCUGCUGACACACCAUCUUGCUUUGGACAAUCUGUUUCAAUAUCUUUCUGUGGACAAUCUGUUUCAUUCCCAAACCAUUUCUGAAUUAUGUUAUUCAUAGUCUCUCCCUCUAUCACCUUCAAGACUGCUCUUGAGACGUCAGGUACCAAAGGAGAUCCUUUUGGAAAUGCCUGCAACAAGUUGUGGGAAAAUUAAAGAUUAGAUCAUUGAGUAAACCACUAACCACUCUAAAACAAAUGUUAACACUUGCUGAAACAUCAGUUAAGUACAACAAUCUUACAAAUCCAAAGCCGGCAGCCUUGUAUGUCGGACCAACCAUAAUAUACUUCCUGCAGUAUUUGUUCAGCAAGAGUCUGAGAUAAGGUAGUUCAUCAACAAUUGCACCAACACCUCCAUUUUUACUACCUCUUGAGAGUGCAUCAUUAUACUCUUCCAAUGUGCUGUAACUCCUAAAUUUGGAGCUGUCAAAUUUCAUGCGUGUCAAGACGUCUUUGACAAAGGAACCUUUUUUAUCAGCACAAAUCUUGAUAAGUUACUUGUUAUCUUCUCUUCUGCAACAACCAGUCAUAUAUAGGAUUUGUUGAGAAACAAGGAGAAAUCUUAAACUUUUGGUCUAUAAUUUGAUUUGAGUUAGAGACUUACUAUGAGCAAAAACGAGAGUUGAGAAGGAAAACCAAAAUAUUAUCCCAACUUGCUUGCGUUUGGGUCCUCGAAAAUCUUUGUUUACACGAUGUUCGAGUACCCAAACCACAAAACCAAUGAAGACGAAGAAUGCUCCGGUUGCUAUCCACAGCUCGGCCUUUAAAGGUUUCAAGAAGAUCCAAGCGUUCUUCCUAUCAUCAUUCCUUAAAGGCACAACUGCAGAAAUACCCGACUCUGAAUAAGGUAAUGUGAAAUCUACAUACUCAGAUCGGCUUGCUAAAAUGGUAACAUCACCUACAACUGCAUCAUAUUCCUGGUUCAAGCAAACAUUGAUUAUUUAAGUAUUUAUUGUUGGUCGCUAAAGCAGAACAUAGAUAAGAAGUCCAAAAAAGGAGCAUGUAAGUGAGUUAUUCAGCUGAAGAGGUUAAUUUUACCUUAGAAGUGAUCUUCUGAACAAGAUCAUCAUAGUUUUAAGAAGUAGGGCUAUGUGCUAUUGGAAAUAGAAUAAAUUCGUAGGGGACAGCAUAUGGCAAAGAUAGGAUGACUUCUUUGAAGACAUCUGGAACAAAACCAGUUACAAUUACUUCUUGUGUCGUUGGAUUUGUUUCCACUUGAAUGAAUUGCUCCAGCCCGUCAGGAACUCCGACCCUUAACUUCUUCCCACUUGUGGGUAUUUCCCAGCCUCUCGGAACAAUAGUAGAUUCACCAGGCCAAAUGAUGACCCCUAGUUGCUUAUUAUUAGUUUUAGCUGUUUUACCAUUCAUCUUGAGUUUAUGCGAAAUGCCAUCCUUCUCUGUCCAGAAUCCAACGAUUUUCUCUCCUUUCCCAAUUAUAUUCACAAUCUGAUAUGGGGACGGCUGCAGUUCUCUAUCAACGAUACGGAAAUCACCACUUAGUCCUGGUUUUAGCUCUGUGUUUUGCAUAGAGUCAAUGAGCAGAGAUCCCACUUCUGAGGUUCCAAGUGCAUCUAGGUCUGUUAAGUUCUCUCUAGUGUCUGGUUCUUAAUUUUGGGAUAGCAGUAGUGCCCACUUUCUCUACUGCUUCUGCUAAUAAGGUGAUGCUAUCAUAUGCCAUAGCCCGAAAACAUUGAGUUCUACUUGGUCCAUGUCUGGAUAUUCUUGACGAAAUCUCUUUCUCCAUCUCUUGGUGAACAUGUCAAGCGCAUUUGGAGUCCAGAAAACUCGUUAGCACAUCUGUGAUGAUCCAUGCAUAUCCACUGCUCAUCAUCCCAGCUUCUUUGGCCUUGAGGAAAAGGCGUGAGGCAAGAUAUGGUUGUAAGUGCACAAUGAACACUGUGGUUUGCUUUGUAUUCAAAUUGUGUAACUCCUUGAGGAUUUGAUCAUCACUGGCUGAAGGAGAAAUAGCACUUUUAUAGGGGACUAAAGUGUUGAUUUCCAGUAAGGCAUCAGUCAGAUGUGGAACUAUCCCAGUUCCAAUGGAGCUAUCCUCGUGGAUGAUUACAACCUUCGUCCAAUUAUAGUUUUUAACAAUUGCUGCAAUGGCUUUAGUCUGGCUGGAAGAAGGAAGUGCUCCUCUGAUGAAGAAGGGAUUUUCCUUGACUGUAAGUAAAGGACUUGUUGCUGGAGAAAUGAUAGGGACUUUUGUUCUGUUCCCUAUGUCAAUCACAAAAUCAGUUUGUGUAGACAUUUGUGGCCCAAAGAUAGCUUGUACUUGGACAUCCUUUAGCAAGUAUAUGGCUGCGUAUACACAAUCAGACUAUAAGAAAUCGUUCCAAAGUGAAAAACAGACGAAAAGAGAGAAUGAUAUGCUAGUUUAACAGAAGUAAAUCAUGGAUCAGAAUAUACCAGCGGAUGCUGCUUCAACAUCAUCUUUCUUUGAAUCCCUGAUAUGAGGAACUAUCCUUAUGGCACCGCGACUAGUGUUGGCAUGAUAAUCUGCAAGAGCUAGUAAGAUAGAUAUGUGCAUUACUUUUCCCACAUCUGUUUCCAGAUCAAGAAUUAUGCCCACAUCCACCUUUACAGCACUAGUGUUAUUAUCUUCACCUCUUAUUCCAAUUACAUAGUGGCAAAAGCUAAUGAUGGAAACAAGUUGAAUGAAAAUAAUUAGGAAUUUGCAUCUUGGAUUAUGCAUUUGAAAAACUCUUGUAGAAAGUAAUAUGAGUGUUGGGCAAGAAGCAGUUGUGCUUGUGCAAGAUUUAUAACCACCAUUCAGAGAUGUGUUUAAAGGUAUCUUAACUAUAACUUUUCUACAAUUAAAUGAGAGCAAACCUCAUAACUGCAGAAAGAAAAGUCAAAGUUUUCAAAGAAUUACAAAUGGUUUAAAAUAUACUAGUUUGAUUAUUAAAGAAAGAGUACUUUGCACACUUGUUAGACCACAAGCUAGUAAAGCCUCCUCAGUUUUGACCAAAUCAAUAAAUGACUAAAUGAACAUAGUGACAAAAUUGAUUUGUACUCAUUCUCCCAAUACCCAAAGAAGUUUUUGUAUUCAUUGGAUGACUAUCUAGAGGCUACUAAAAGGACUUCCCAUAUUUUGGCUAAGUCAUGUUGAAAGUUGAGUGCUAACUCAGUUACAAAUAAGUAGAAGAGGUCAGUUUCUAUGACUUGGACAUUGGAAAAGGGCAGCUAUGACUAGUAAUCUUUAGUUUACUUAGACGGUUUCAGUUUAGAAUUGGUCAGUAGUAUAAAACUUUAUGGUGGUAGAGGCACAACUUGUAGGGUUGUUCCGGGUUAUCGUUAAUUAAAAAAUCAAAUCAAACUUGUAGGGUUGUUUGGUUAGGUUUUAAAUUUUGAAAAUCAAUACUAUUUGGUUUGGUUUGGUUUUAAAACUGUAAAAAUAAUCAAAUUGAACGUGUAAUUAUAAUAAUUCUAGUAUUGCUUGAUUGAAUCCACAGUAACUUUCAUGUGUAUUGUUCAUGUACUAGGUGUCUGUGUUUAUAUAUAUGUCUUCAAAAAAAUUAUUACUUCCAAAACAAAAAAACAAAAAAAUUGAACCAAACCGACAAUUAUUUUUUUCAUUUGGUUUUAGAAUUUAGAAACCGACUAAAUUGAUCUGGCUUUGAUUUUAGCCAAUAAUCAAUCCAAAUUGAACCAUGAACACCUCUAGGCACAAAUAUAACUUGGUAUGUGAAGAAUUACUAUAAUACCUUUCCUUUAACUUUUUUUUUUUAAAAAAAAAUCUCCAUCCUCCAUUUUUUUCCCUUCACUUUUAAAAAAAAAAAAAAAAACCUCUAUUGGGAAAUUUUUCAAAUCAGUUUUUUUUACUCAUGAGCUCUAUUCCUUUCCCUUUUAUAUUUUUUAUAAUAUAAAAUAUAAGAUAAAAUAAAGAAUUUUUUUAAAAAGAAAUGAGAAAAAAAAUGAUGAAGAUGAGGGGUGAGGAGCUAAAGGAGAGAAGAAAGAUAGAACAUAAGAUGAGAAAGGUAGGGUCCCCAUAUUUUCUUUAUCAAAAAGUAACUUCUUACCUACCAAAGUCAUAUUUAUGCCUCUACCACCACAAAUUUUUUCGUAUUAACUUGCUUGCAAGUUGCAAAACCAAACAAAGCAAGCAUACCCAAAUGGAGAUGGAAUCUUGGAAUGAGGAUGGUUGGGUAUACAUGUAGGUGUCAAUGUCAUUGUCUCAAUAUAUAUAUAUAUAUAUACUCCCUCCGUCCCAAUUUAUGUGGCACCCUUUUUUUUUAGUCUGUUCCAAAAAACAAUGUCAUCUUACUAUAAUUAGAAACAAGGGAAAAGACUCAAAUAUGCUAUUGAAAUUUGAGAAAAGACUCAUUUAUGUCAUCCGUUAAAAGUUUGGUUCAUCUAUGUCAUUUUCGUUUGAGAAAAAACUCAUCCAUACCAUUAGUUGUUAACUAAAAAUAAUUUUGGUUUUGUAAGAUCAUUUUAUACACAUGGUCAAUUAUGAUUCGGCCAUGUCAUCAAUUAAAUCAUUUCUAUAGAAGAGAAAAUGUUCAAAUAUGUCAUCGAACUUUGAGAAAAGACUCAUUUAUGACAUCCGUUAAAAGUUUGUCUCAUCUAUGCUAUUUCAGUUAAUAAAUAAUGGCAUGAAUGAGGUUUUUCUCAAAUGAAAAUGGCAUAGAUGAGCCAAUUUUUUAACGAAUGACAUAUAUGACAUUUCUCAAAGUUCGAUGGCAUAUUUGAGUUUUUUCCCUAUAAACAAUUUCACUUAAAAUUUACUGUUAUCCUUAAUGAAAUUAUUUACAAACACACAAAUAUCUAAGGAUUGUUUUAGAUCACAAGUUUAAAAGUCUUUUUAAAAUAUAUAUAUAUAUAUAUAUAUAUAUUGUGUCAAGUUAAACAGUGCCACAUAAAAUGAGACAGAGAGAGUAAUUGUUAAUGUAAGAGGAAGCUGCUCGGGAAGUUACGUGUAUGAUGUUGAAGUUAUUUGACAUGCAGUUGAGGUGAUCCUAUAAUCUUCCAUUAUUUAUGACUAGUAAAAUCACUGAAUUUAUAAAAUAAUACUUAAAACAUAUGAGUCAUUAAAACUAAAACACUAUAUUAUCUUACAUAUAAGAUUACAUAUAACAAACAUUAAUAAUGUAAGUAAUUUCUUUUUUGCAUAUGUUAACAAAUUUUUGAAUUUCUUCCUGAGACAUAUAUCACAAUUGUAAAAUCUAUACAACUUAAAUGUGUUCUUGUUCUUACGAAACGCCUUUGUGUAUAUAUAUUCUUAUUUAUUCUCUCUUUUUUCCUUUUAAUUGAUGAUUAAAUAACCAUUAAUUUAUUAUUUCCUAAAUAAUUCAUUUAUUAGAUGUUCUUGAGUUAUGUGAUAAUGACAAAUAAUAGUAUAGAUCUUUAAGGAAUUUUUUUACUGUACCUUCAACAAUUUCAUGAUCAGUAGAGAAAACUUGCAUGAAUACUCAAUUAACAUGUGUUGUUUAAUCUGUACUAACAAAUACAAUUAACGUGUGUUGUUUAAUCUGUACUAACAAAUACUUAUAACAAUAACUUUGCAGAAACAUAAACACAAGUUUAAAACAUGUACUCAAAAACAAUAAUUAAUAACAUAAGCAUAAAUUAAUGACUGUAAAAAAAUAUACCAGGAUCUGUAAUAAUAGGAUGAAACAUAAAGGAAAAAAUUGUACACGAAUAUUUAAUUGUGCAGGUUAAGAAGAAGUUCAAAAUUUUCGUUUUUUUAAAAUGAGAGGAAAUCACUCUAUUUAUAGCUAGACAACAAAGGGUAGUGUGAGCAAAUGUUUAUUGUGUCUUAUCGGAAAGGUCACAACUCUUUGGAAAAGUUACAAACCCUUUGGAAAGGUCAUAACCUUUCAUAAAAGACACAACUUUUCAUAAAAGUCGCAACUCUACAUAGAAGUUACAACUUUUCAUAAAAGUCGCAACUGUUCAUAUAAGUCGCAAUUUUUCAUAAAAGUCACAACUUUUCAUUAAAGUCGCAAAUUUUUAUAAAAGGGGAAGGAUAGUUUUGUAAAUAUAUUAAUUAAAAAAGGAAUCCUGGUUUGUGAUGGCGCCACGUAGGCAGGCCUAGGGUUCUCUUUUAUAUAUAUACUAGUUUCUGAACACGUGCGUUGCACGUGUUUCAAACAAGUAGUAUACACGAUAAAAGUUAUAUUAAAACCAUAGUGUAAUCAAUAACGAAAAAAAGGUACAAACUAAAAUUGAUGAACGUAACACUCAUCCAAUUUGAAUGACUUAUUCGUUUAGCGAUAAAUAAUUAAUUACUAUCAGAACUACAAAAUUGAAUAAUUAUAUUUAGUUAGAUAAGUAAAAUGUAUAAAAUGAGUCACAUUUUAAUGUUAUUAGGUGCAAAUAUUUUAUUUAUAAAGAAGUAUUAGUAUUAAAUAUUUGCACCUAAUAACAUUAAGUAUUAAAUUUCAAGACAUAAUAUUUGAAUAAUGAAUUGUGAUGCUCAUACCAAAUAGCAAAACAAUGAAUCUAGAAAAUACUUUUAAAACAAAAAAACUUAGAUAUGAUAUUUAAAAUAUUUAAAACUUCUUGUUAAAAUUUACAAAAACGCAAAUAAUAUAUGCUUAUUAAGAAUUUAAAACUAAUUGUUAUAAUCUUAACAAUUGUGCAUGGAAACAAAAGCACCCAAAACAAAUGAAAUUCCAAUACAUGUGAAAUCAAAGUAUUGUAAUUCUAAGUAACUAAAUAUGCCAUGCAUACUUCUCAUCUCUUCUUUUAUGCAAACUAUUAGAAGGCAUAAAAAAACAAUGAAAAUCGAAGAUAAAAUAAUUUGCAUUCAAUCUUAAAAAGUUACAAAGAGGAGAUGGGGAAAAUUAGUAAAACUCAUUUAACCUUUAUAUAAUGUUUUUCCCAGUCCUUUGAAAUUUCAUUUCAUUUAUUUACUAAUGAAUUGAUUUACUAAUUAAUAUUCAAUUCAACUUUUCAACUUCUUUGUACUUACUGUAGCAAUGAAAGGUUGGCUAUUGGUUAACGUAACAAUUAAAUAAUUGAACCACCAAUGUUUCAUAUAAAGUUAUGGUUAUUAUAAGUAUUAAAUGCAAACAUUUUCUUUUUAUUGUAUGAAAUGCGUGUAUUUGUAUUUUUAUAUUAUAAACUUUUUGAAAUAAUAGUUGCUUGAAGGUUAAAAUGAUGUUUAACUUUUAAUAGGCGAUUUGGUAAUUCAAUUUUUCAUUUGGAAAGUUUCUACUUGAUAUAAUAUGAUAAUGAUCAAAAAUUUAAUAUAAAAUGAAUAAAGCAAAGAAUAAACAGGGAAAGAAAGAAAGAUGAUUGUCAUCAAUCCCUAUUAAAUCAUUGAAUUAAGUGUGAUAAUUAAAGUAUUAUUACUCCACUUUCAAAUCAUCCGUUCAAUUCAUGUUAUUGAAAACUAAUUUAAUUGAAGAUUUAUUUUAAUUAUGGUGUAAAUAAAAAUUAGUUUAUAAAAAAUGAUUUAGUAUAAGGGCAAAAUGGUAAAUCAACUUUGAAGACAAGAGCUUCCCACUUUUAAUAAUACUAGAAGAAAAAUGUGAAUUACAUGGAGAUUUUUUUCUUGGAAUUAGUAUCAAAAUUCGCAGAUAACUUAUUUCCUGCAAAUUUUCAUAUUAAUCCCCAGGAAAAUCCCCAUGUAAUUCACCAUUUUCUUGUAGUGUUGUACCAAAUUAUAAUAAAAUAACAGUAAAGAAAAUAGGUUGUACCCUGCUUCUUGCACUUAACUUUAUCCCACGAACAAUAGACAGAAAGGUGUCAUAUAAUCCUUACAUAUCACUAUCAAACCAAAUUCUCCCAACUGACAUAUUCUCCCACAACAAUAUUAUAUUCCCUCAAGUCCAAUUUUCAUCAGUGACUCCGUUUCUAAUGUUUUCCAAUUCACUUUUUCGACCUCCUUUUCACUAUUCAUUAUAUAAUAAUUGAUAUGAAACAACCCACAAUGUAAACAAGAUUUAAGAGACGUGAUUGAUUUACUUGAGUCGCUCACGUUCUUCUUUCGUUCACGCCGCUUUCUGUUAUUCUUCUUUUCCGUUCUUUCCCUUUUCUUCUACAGAUUAUUUUCACCCUAAUUAUUAUAUGACUAAUUAUAAGAGUGGUGGAAUUGGCUCACUACUAGUUUUAAUGCUAUCUUCUUUAACCACCAACUACAUUAAUUAUUAAAACUACCCCACUAAUUUCAUAAUGUAAUUACGAAUAGUCCAAAAUACCCAUUUAGAAUCUAUCGAACGAGUCUUUUAUGAAAUAAAAAGAUCUAGUACUCAAAACGACUAAAUGGGUCGUUACACAAUGUAACUCUUUAACUUUCAAAAUGAUAGGAGGUGAAAAGGUGAAAACAUUUUCUUUUUCAAUGAAUACAUUCAUUAUACUAAUAAUUCACCAUUUAAUAAACUUCUACCUAAAAAUGUUUUUUAGCAUAAAACAUGUAGGAAGUAAUUUUAAACAGUAAAAGGUAAAGGGUUAAUUAGUUUCUCAUUUAAUUAAUUCGAUUCAUUUAUUAGUAUAGGUAAAUUUAUUAUUUAGUACCAAGUAGUAUAAGAAUAGUAUUAAGAUGAAGGGUAAAAAUGUAAUUUGAUUUUUUAGGAAUAUUUUGUAAUUCAAUUUUAUAAGUUUUGGGGCUUCCCACUUAAUAAUUAUUAUUUAUAAUAAUAAAAAAAAUUUGACUUAACACCUUUCCAUUAUUAUUAUAGAUUAUAGAUGAUAAAUAUUAAUAAAUUAGAUAUUUAAUUAGGAAUUAAUCUUAGGAAGUCUAAAAGUCAUUUAACAUUUUUAAUUUAAAACUUAUACAAUCAAAUAUUUAAAUAUUUUAUAACAAUUUAAUUAAUAGAAGGGGUAAAACUGUAAUUCAACUUUCAACUUUUUUUGUUCAUGCUUAUAGUAAUAUAUAUGAUAUGAUAUAUAUAUAUAUGAUUAUUUACUGUGGUCGUUUUCUGAUAUGAUCACAAUAAGAUAUAACCGUCUAUUAUCUUUUAAACUUGUUUUUCUUUUUAGUUUGCAAUAUAUUUUGGAUUGGUAACAUUAGUAGUAUUAAAUUGUUAACAGCACUAGUUUGCAAUAUUUUUGGUUUCUGCAAACAUUAUUAGCACAUAUUGAAAGAGAUAUAUAUGAUAUGGUUUCAUUGAAUUAUAUCCUCUACAUAAGCAGUGAAGACAAAACAAAGUACUAAUGUUAUUUAAAUUGUCUCUAAAAUUUUGAUGAUUUAAUAAACUUUGAGAUCUAAAGAACGACCAGAUUCCAAGAGAGAUUGAGAGUUCUGUUUAUGAAAAAAACAGCGGUCUAAAAGCAGCAACACCUGCUGUGGUUGGUGCACGUAUUUUGCAGCAGACAUUCAGCCAAUGGCAGGGCAUUGCUUCAAGAGUUUGGGUCCAUCCUAUAAUACACCUCUUUGACAUUGACACAAACUCAAGUUUUUGCAAUAUAAAAAUUCAUAACAGCAAAAGUCAUUCUCUCAAGGAAAUAUUUCUCGAUAAAUGAUAGAGUUAUCAUCGUUCUUAGGUGUUUUUAGGGCUUAUAUUUCUGUGCUUAUACUUGUAAGAUUUAUUCCUACGUUAUAAAGGAAUCAGAUCAUUUGAAGUUUUUUCUGAGUAUUCCGAGUUAUAGCUAGAGUUAGUUAUGUUGUAUUCUUGAAUUCAAGAUCAACUAUAGCUAGUUGAUUUAGUGGGUCAUAGAGUUAUUGCUUAGUUUUUGAGUAACAGAGUUGUUACUAUGAGGGGAAGGGAUUAAGAGUUUAAUUCCUAGGCUACAAGGGUUUGUAAUAUGAAGCUUUGCACUUUUGAUGAUAAUGGAGUUGGGUUAAAUCCUGUGAGACAGACCGUGGUUUUUCCUCCCUUGAACAAGGGGCAUUCCACGUAAAACUCUUGUAUUUGUUUUACUUUGUGUUAUUUAUUUUCCACAAUUUUUCUUUCAAGGGACUUGGUCCAUUGACCAUUAGUGGACGCAUACAUUCUAUGAGUAAUAAUAAGAUUGAAAAAGAAACCACUAAGAAAAAGUAAGGGUUAAAUCCAUCAAAUGGAAUCCUGGAGCCACCUCUUGAUGCUAAUAUUCUGGCCAAGAUCAGUAACAAAGAUAUAAUGUAAUCUGGUUUAACUAACCCUAAAGCUAGCUCAUCUCUGUGCAAUCUCAUAUAGGGCCCUAUUCAGGUGUGUCACAAUUAUGGUAGUAGCUAUAUGUGUCAUCUUUCUUCAAUUGUGUCUGUAAUGGUUUCAUGAACUGGAGUUCCAGGUUCUGUUGUAGAGAACCCUUCAGCAGCAGGGGAUACUCCUAGUCCGUCGGAAAUUCUGAUUUCUGGGAUUUGCGAAGGAAGGUCAGGCAAUAUCUCAGGAGAAGCUUCACUUGCUGCGAGCAGUGUAGGUGCAUUGCUUCCAUUGCUUUCAGAUGGCUCUUCUGACAUAGAAUUAGAGCUGUCUUUCUCUUCAUCAAAGACUUUUGCAAUUGCAGUAAGCUUUUGCCAUAUUGAAUCAUCAGUGGCUAAGAUUUCUCUAUUCUGAUAAAGGAGGAUGAGGAAGAAUAGGAGAAGAGCGGAGCCUGCUGAAACACCAGCUAUGAGGAAAAGUCCCUUAAAACUAUCUAACGUGAGGCUAUCAGAUGUUAUUGCCGUUUCAUCUUUCUGUGGACAAUCUGUUUCAUUCCCAAACCAUUUCUGUAUUAUGUUAUUCAUAAACUCUCCCUCCAUCACCUUCAAGACUGCUCUUGAGACGUCAGGUACCAAAGGAGAUCCUUUUGGAAAUGCCUGCAAUAAAAGAUUAGAUGAUUGAGUAAACAACAAAUCAUUCUAAAUAUAUAUGUUAACAGUGUCUGAAACAUCAGUGGAGUGUACAAUCUUACAAACCCAAAGCCGGCAGCCUUGUAUGUCUGGCCGACCAUAAUAUACUUCCUGCAGUACUUGUUGAGGAAGAGUCUGAGAUAAGGUAGUUCAUCAACAAUUGCACCUACACCUCCAAUUUUUUGCUUCCUCUUGAGAGUGCAUCAUUAUACUCUUCCAAUGUGCUAUAAUUUCUGAACUUGGAGCUGUCAAAUUUCAUGUGCUUUAUGAAGACGUCUUUGACAAAGGAACCUUCUUGGUACCCAACAUAUUCUCCAUUCUUGAUGAGAUCAUUGAGGUCUGUUAUAGUAGGUUGGAGCUGUUGCAGUGUCAACAUAGAUGUUAAGCUGGCUGUAUAACUUGAUGUCAGCACCAGAACCACAAAAACCCACACAAUCAGCAAAAAUCUUGUUAAGUUACUUGUUACCCUCUCUCCUGCAACAACCAGCCAUAUAUAUGAUUUGUUGAGACACAAGGAAAAAUCCUAUAUCUUUCGUAUAUAAUAAUAUGCUUUGAGUUAGUGUCUUACUAUGAGCAAAAACGAGAGUUGAGAAGGAAAACCAAAAUAUCAUCCCAACUUGGUUGCGUUUGGGUCCUCGGAACUCUUUGUUUACACGAUGUUCGAGUACCCAAACCACAAAACCAAUGAAAACGAAGAAUGCUCCAGUUGUUAUCCAAAGCUCGCUCUUUAGAGGUUUCAAGAAAAUCCAAGCAUCCCUCCUAUCAUCAUCCCUUACCGGCACAACUACAGAAAUACCUGACUCUAUAAAAGGUAAUGUGAAAUCCACAUACUCUGACCGGCUCGCUAAAAUGGUCACAUCACCUACAACUGCAUCAUAGUCCUGGCUCAAGCAAACAUUGAUUAUUCCAGUAUGUAUAGUUGAUUGUAAUAGCAGAAAAUAGAUAUCGAAGUCCCAAAAAGGGCCAUGUUAGUAAGAUAUAGAGCCAAAGAGGUUUAUUGGAACAGAGAUUAUAUAUUACCUGAGAGGUGAUCUUGUGAACAAGAUCAUCAUAGUCUGGAAGAGUGAGGGGAUCUUGUAUUGGAAAUGGAAUAAAUUCGUAAGGGAGAGCAUAUGGCAAAGAUAGGAUGACUUCUUUGAAGACAUCUGCACAGAAACCAGUUGCUGUUACUGCUUGUGUUUUUGAAUCUCUUUCCACUUUAAUGAGUUGCUCCAGCCCUCCUUUGAGAGGAACUCCAACCCUUAACUUCUUCCCACUUGUGGGCAUUUCCCAGCCUCUUGGAACAAUAGUUGAUUCACCAGGCCAAAAAAUGGCUCCUAGUUGCUUAUUAUUACACUUAACUGCUGUUUUACCAUUCAUCUUCAGUUUACACGAAAUGCCAUCCCUCUUCGUCCAAAAUCCAAUGUUUUUCUCUCCUUUCCCAAUUAUAUUCACAAUCUGAUAUGGGAUUGGCUGCAGUUCUCCAUUGAUGAUACGGAAAUCACCACUUAAUCCUUGUUUUAGCACUGUGUUUCGCAUAGAGUCAAUGAGCAGAGAUCCCACUGCUGACGUUCCAAGUGCAUCUAAGUCUGUUAAGUUCUCUCUGGUGUCUGGUUUCUUUAAUUUUGGGAUAGCAGUAGUGCCUACUUUAUCUACUGCUUCUGCUAAUGAGGUGAUGCUAUCGUAUGCCCAUAGCCCAAAAACAUUGAGUUCUAUUUGGUCCAUGUCUGGAUACUCUUGACGGAAUCUCUUUCUCCAUCUCUUUGUGUAGUUGUUAAGCUGAUUUGAUCUUGGAAUGUAAGGUUUUAUACCAAGAACACCUUGCAUUGAUGACUCGAUCACUGAAUGAUCUACCAAGUCCAGAAGACUCGUUAGCACAUCUGUGAUGAUCCAUGCAUAUCCACUGCUCAUCAUCCCUGCUUCUUUGGCCUUGAGAAAAAGGCGGGAGGCAAGAUAUGGACGCAAGUGCACGACGAACACCCUUGUUUGCUUUGUAUUCAUAUUGUAUAACUCCUUGAGAAUCUGAUCAUCAUUGGCUGACGGAGAAAUAACACUUCUAUAGGAGACUAAAGUGCUGAUUUCCAGUAAGGCAUCAGUCAAAUGUGGAACUAUCCCGAACCCAUAGGGGCUAUCCUCAUAGAUGACCACAACCUCCCUCCAAUCAAAGUUUUUAACAAGUGCUGCAAUGGCCUUAGUCUGGCUGGAAGAAGGAAGUGCUGCUCUGAUGAAGAAGGGAUUUUCCUUGACUGUAAGUAAAGGACUUGUUGCUGGAGAAAUGAUUGGGACUUUUACUCUGUUCCCUAAGUCGAUCACAAAAUCAGUUUGUGUAGACAUUUGUGGCCCAAAGAUAGCUUGUACUUGGACAUCCUUUAGCAAGUAUAUGGCUGCACAUACACAAUCAGACAAUAAGAAUUUACCCAAAGUAAGAGUUUAAUAGAAGUGAAUCAUGGAACUGAAUUUACCAGCAGAUGUUGCUUCAACAUCAUCUUUCUUGGAAUCCUUGAUAUGAGGAACUAUCCUUAUGGCACCGCGACUAGCGUUGGCAUGAUAAUCUUCAAGUGCUAGUAAGAUAGAUAUGUGCAUUACUUUUCCCACAUCUGUUUCCAGAUCAAGAAUUAUACCCACAUCCACCUUUACAGCACUAGUGUUAUUAUCUUCACCUCUUAUUCGAACCACAUAGUGGUAAAAGCUAAUGAUGGAGAUAAGUUGAAAUGAAAAGAAUUAGAAAAGUGGCAUCUUGGAUUAUGCAUUUGAAAAAACUCUGGUAGCAAGUAGUCUGAGAGAUGGGCAACAAGCAGUUGUGCUUGUGCAAGAUAACCACACAUUCAGAAUGACAAUUUUCCUAUAAUUAAUAAGACCAAACUCCAUAAAUGAAGAAAGAAAAGUCAAAGAACAAAUGGUUGAAAAUCAAGUAUUCGUUUGAUUAUUGAAAGUGAGGACUUUUCACAUAUGCUACAACCGCACAGCUAGUAAGCAUAUUACCCCUCAGGUUUGACUAAAUAAAAAUUUGACAAAAUUGAUUGGUACUCAUUCCCCAACACCCAAUUACUUUUUGUGUGUACUAUCUAGAGGAUAUAUUCAAGGGAACUUACAUGAAUUCAACUAAUUUAGGAGUUAAUUACUUAAAUACAUUGUAGUUUGCAAUAUUACGUAUUUUACUAGAUUUUGGUAUGUCCAGAUACAUUCAGAUACAUAUAUGUGAGGUUACUUAGGAUCAAAAUUAGGUGUAAUUUGCUCUAGAUGCAUUGUAUCUAAGUGACUUUGCAUGUAUCUGGGAUACAUAACAAAUCUCGCUCGCCUCUCUCCCAUCUCUCACUCUCCUAUGUAUCUGAUAUUCCAUAUACAUGUGAAUCACACCAGAUACAUACACAUAAAUGUAUCUUAUGUGUAUAUAGUGUGAUUCGCAUGUAUCUGGGAUACAUAACAAAUCCCGCUUGCCUCUUUCCUCAUCUCGUUCCCCUAUCUUCCUAUUUUUGUGUAUCUGAUGGCAAAAAUUCAUGUAGCCAAAUGUAUUUUCCUCAAUAUAUGAUAGGAAACUCUUAAUUAGUGAUAGUAUACGAAAUAUUUUAAAAGUAUAGAAUAUAAUAGUAUAUAUGAUAGUGAAGUAUGUCUAAUGAUAUAGUUUUUCUGUAUUGAAAGGACUUCCCAAAUUUUGGCUGAGGCAUAAAAAGUUGACAAAUUUAGCUCAGUUACAAAUUCCACAAUUAAACCAAUAAGUAGAAGAGACCAUUGUUUUCCAACUUGGACAAGGCUAGAUACGACUAGUAAUCUUUAGUUUACGCGUUUUCAGUUACUAGUCUUUGGACACGUGCGUUGCACGUAUAUCCCAUAUUAUAUGGUUGCAUAAUAUAUGUCUAUAGUUACAAAUAUAUGUAUAAAAAAAAAUUGAUUGUGAUAUAAAUUGGAAAACAUGUAUAAGAUAAGAAAUCAAAACAGAUACCCUCAAAUUUCAAACUAUAAGCAUAAUAAGAAUAUGUAUUUCUAAUGAGUUUAAUCAAUCAUACCUUGCAAUAAUCUCUGCAAUUCAUUGAGAAACUUUCAAUCCAUACAUCAACAUUCAAUCGUGUAUAUAUAAAGAAAACUUGAAAUGCAUAACAACAAUUAUAUCUAUAUUUUUUAAAACACUAUAAAGUCAUUUUUUCUUUUUGCAUUAUAAUAUGGAUUGCACACAAUUUCUAUUAAAAAAAAGAAAGACAAAAUUAGGAAAAAUCGUAUCAAUAAAUUGGAAUGAAAAAUGUAAAAUUGUAAUAAGAGGAAGAGAAGAAAAAUACAGUAGAAUAUAUUACCUAACCAUGAAUAAGGAAGUAUGUUGAGUAAAAGAAGAGUAAUGCAAAAGUGUGAACUGAUAUAUGGAGGAAAUUGACAAAUAUAAUAAUCUAUAUUGAAUAAUGAAAAACAACUCUUCAAUUUCUGCAAAAAUUUUAUAACUACGAGCUCAAAAUAAUAUAAAUUUAUUAAUUUAAUAAAUGACAUAAAUAAAUAAAUAACAUAUAUUGUGUGUAUGUGUAGUUAAUGGGGUAGUGAAAAAGACUCUUUCUGAAAUUAUUUUUAUCUCUUUAAAGUAAUUUUGAACUUUUGAUAUUAGUGCUAUAGAAAAUCAUAUAAAGUCAUAAGCCACUGCAAGUUUUUAUAGUAAUUAUCUUAUUAAAUUAUAUACCUAUUAUUAUUUUUAAUUAUUUAUAAUCAUUCCGAAAAUGUAUAAAUUAAUUUUGAAAAGCUUGUAAAAUGAGAAAUUAUUAUUUCUUAUCAUUAUUUUAGCUAUUAUUAACAUUUAGUAUGACAACAUUUUAAAAAAGCAGCUUCCUUUAAAUAUUAAUUGUUUCUAAAUUAACAUAGCCAAGAAUUUAAAAUGUUGUGACGUUUUGUUUAUCUAAACACGCAGAAUUUUGUUUUUGAACCUGGAACAUGUAAUUAAGCCUUGGGUGAAUUAUAAUUUUAUUUUUACUAUUUAAUUAAUUAAAUAAUUUGUAACAUUUUAAUAUAAUGAAGGGGUAAAAUGGUAACUCAACUUUAAAGGUUGGAGCUUCCCACUUUUAGUAAUAUAUGAUAAAUUGGUCAGUAGUAGUAACCUAGUUUAAUUUGAUAUAAUAACAUUCAUGACAAAAUAAAUUAAAUAUGGCUAAUUAAGAAAAUAUAAUUAAAUAUGAUUAUCUUUAAUGUUAUUUAAAUUUGUAGGCGAUUUUUUUUGUAUUUUAAAAUUAAAAAAAGGCCAAAAAACCCACAAAAAGAGAUAAAUAGGAUUGAAGCCCUUAGAGAGCGUCACCUCACCGUUUUCAUAUUCAACUUUAUUAUUAUAUAUGGAUUUAGAUUUUUGCACAACCUUAAAUUUAAGGACACAUUUAGAUAUUAUAUCAAACAUUCAUUUAUUUGAAGUUGAAAUUACAUUUUACAUGAAAAUUGGAUAUUCCAUAUUCACAUUGAGUAUGAAUCUUUUUGUUUUUUUUACAAAAUUCAAAAUAAAAAAAUACAAAACAUAAACUUAUAGAUCAAAUUUUACAUUUGACAUUUGAAAGUUUUACUUUUCAUUAAACGUUUUGUUAUAGAAUUUGGAAUCGCCCUUUGAAAUUAGUAUUUAUAAAUGAAAAUAUUGAUCUAGUCCUGUUGAAAUUGUGUCUGGCCUAGUACUUUUUCUUAUUAGAGUGAUUAUUGAAUUAGGUUUAAUAUCAAUUUUCUUAAUUAGUUUUGUCAAUUGGCAGUGCUAAGAAGAUGGGAAUUUACGUUAUAUUAAAUUAUCUUUACAUUAAUAAAAAAAGAAAUUGUUGUUAGUAUUAUUUGUAAUAUAAUUAAACAAAAAUAACAAUGGGAAGAAAAUAAUAAGUAAAGAUUACACGUUGUAUUAAAAUAAUAAGUAUUAAAAAUUAUGAUAAAUUUUAUAAUAGUCAUAACAGGAAUUUACGCAAUAAUUACUAUAUUAGAAUACUAGAAAAAUUGAUAAGUUCCUCGACAUCUAAUCAUUGAUUAAAAUUUAAAUUAUUAUUUUCUUCUGCGAAAGUUUAAGAGAUUAAAUUAAUGUUUUAAAAAAUAAUAUUAAUUAUUUUCAAUGAUUAAUAAGAAAAUGUAUAUAGCAAGUACAUGUAUUAUUAUUACAUUAUUUAUAUCCACUCUAUAUUAAAUCAUUUUUCUAUUAUAGUUUGACGCAAAUUUCAGAAUGUAAAGAAUGUUUUGGAUUCGAAAAAUAAAUAUUCAAAAUAUACUAACAUGUCAUUUAAUCUUAUGAUAUUUUACAUUUCAUGUGAAAAAAAAUUAAAUAUUAAUUUUUUAAUAUGAAAAAUAUUAAUUUAUUAAUACAACAUAAAAGUAAUAAAGGACAAUAUAUAAAAAUAUUUGAAGUAUUUGAUAUUUUAUUAAAUUAAAAUAAUUCUAAAUUAAUAUAUAGCCGCGCAACGCGCGGGUACGUAUACUAGUGAAGAACAAUAAUAAAGAAGAAGACAAUUGAGUUAAUAUUUAUUUUUUCCAAGUUUAAUUUAACACAUGACCAGUUUUUAUUGGUCAGUGCUGUCAAAAAGUUGCACCCACGCGCCUAAAAUAGGUGAAAUCACGGACUCAGCCACGUAGGCCAAAAAGUGGUAAACAAUUAACUAAAAAAUAAGUUCAGGGGGGUAAUAGGACUUUAGUAAAGGUUAGGUGUGUCUCAGGGAUUUUGGGCAUAGGCUGGGGGGGUACUUAUGCAUUUUCCCUUAUGUUAAAUAUACCAAAAUGUUUUUUAAUCUUAUGACUUUAAACAUGUCACGUGAAAAACUGAAAUUAAAGUGUUGCCAAAAAAAGAAGGGUCAUUUUUUUUAAACAGACUAAACAGAAAAGUAGAUCUUUUUAAAACGGAAGGGAAGUAAUUGUUAAUGCAAGAGGAAGCUGCUUGAAAAGUUACGUAUAUGAUGUUGAAGUUGUCUAACAUGCAAUGCUGGUCCUAUAAUCUUUCAUUAUUUAUUAUCCAUGACUAUGGGUGGAUAAUAAUAGUUAUCUGCUAUGAUCAUAUAUACCUAGGGGUGGACAUAUUACUUAGAAAACUUAUGUUAGGUAAUUUUGAUUUCUAAAAAUACUAUAUGGUGUAUGCUAUUUGCAGAUGAUAGUCCUAAUCGACCAGACUCGUAAUAGAGUUAAUGUUAAGCUAGAGAAGAUAAUAAUGGCUCCCUUCUCAAAUAUUUCAUUGGUAGAAAUUUGCCUUCCAGAAUUUCAUAAUUGCAUCUGAUCCUUUCUGAUAACUCAAAGGGCAUCUUAAAUUGGUGCGGAAGUUUAAUUUUGACAUGGAACGCAAAUAUAUGCGGAAAAUUAGUAAUUCAAUAAAUAUUUAAUUAUGAAUGCAUAUUACAAAAGUGCAAGGAAUUCAAUUGUAAGAUGUUGAAGGUUAAACCCAUAAAUUCUAAAUACUAGAGACGCCUCUUAAUGCAAAUAUAAUAUGGUUUAACUAUUUUAAACCUGGCUCAUCUCUCUUAAGUUGUCCCUGUAAUGUUUUCAUGAACUGGAGUUCCAGGUUCUGUUGUAGAGAACCCUUCAAGUGCAGGGGAUGCUCCUAAGCCGUCGGAAAUUCUGAUUUCUGGGCUUUGCAAAGGAAGGUGGGGCAAUAUUUCAGUAGAGGCUUCACUUUCUGCAAACAGCAUAGCUGUUUGGAUUUCAUUGCCUUCAGAUGGCUCUUCUGACAUAGAAUUAGAGUUGUCUCUCUCUUUAUCAAAGGCAUUUGCUAUUGCAGAAAGCUUUUGCCAUACUGAAUCAUCAGUGGCUAAGAUUUCUCUAUUCUGAUAAAGGAAGAUGAGGAAGAAUAGGAGAAGAGCGGAGCCCGCUGAUACACCAGCUAUGAGGAAAAGGCCCUUAAAACUAUCGAGCAUGAGGCUAGAUGCUAUAGCCAUUCCAUCUUGCUUUGGACAAUCUGUUUCAUUCCCAAACCAUUUCUGUAUUAUGUUAUUCAUAAACUCUCCUUCCAUCACCUGCAAGACUGCUCUUGAGACGUCAGGUACCAAAGGAGAUCCUUUUGGAAAUGCCUGCCAGAAGUUGGGGGAAAAUAAAAGAUUAAAUUAUUGAGUAGAACAUAAACCAUUCUAAACAAAUGUAAACACGUUCUGAAACAUCACUGGAGUGCAACAUUCUUACGAAUCCAAAGCCAGCAGCCUUGUAUGUCGGACCGACCAUAAUAUACUUCCUGCAAUACUUGUUGAGGAAGAGUCUGAGAUAAGGUAGUUCAUCAACAAUUGCACCAACACCUCCAUUUUUACUUCCUCUUGAGAGGGCAUUACUAUACUCUUCCAAUGUGCUAUAACUUAUGAACUUGGAACUGUCAAACUUCAUGUGCUUCAAGACAUCUUUGACAAAGGAACCUUCUUGGUACCCAACAUAUUCUCCAUUCUUGAUCAGAUCAUUGAGGUCAGUUAUAGAAGGUUGGAGCUGUUGCACUGUCAACAUAGAUGUUAAGUUGGCUGUAUAACUUGAUGUCAGCACCAGAACCACGAAAACCCACACAAUCAGCACAAAUCUUGUGAAGUUACUAGUAACCCUCUCUCCUGAAACAACCAGCCAUAUAUAUGAUUUGUUGAGAAACAAGGAUAAAUCCUAAAGCUUUUUGUAUAUAAUUUGCUUUGUGUUAGAGACUUACUAUGAGCAAAAACGAGAGUUGAGAAGGAAAACCAGAAUAUCAUCCCAACUUGCUUGUGUUUGGGUCCUCGAAACUCUUUGUUUACACGAUGUUCAAGUACCCAAACCACAAAACCAAUGAAGAUGAAGAAUCCUCCUGUUGUUAUCCAAAGCUCGCUCUUUAGAGGUUUCAAGAAAAUCCAAGCAUUCUUUCUAUCAUCAUUCUUUACCGACACAACAGCAGAAAUACCGGACUCUGAAAAAGGUAAUGUGAAAUCCACAUACUUGGCUCGGCUCGCUAAAAUGGUCACAUCACCUACAACUGCAUCAUAUUCCUGGUUCAAGCAAACAACGAUUAUUUUAGUAUAUAUGGUUGAUCUCAGUCAAAGAAGAAAGUAGAUAUGGAAGUCCCGGAAAGGAGCAUGUAAGGUAUUCAGCCAAAAAGGUUAAUUCAAAAAAGAAUUGGAUAUUACCUUUGAGGAGAUCUUGUAAACAAGAUCAUCAUAGUCUUGAGAAGUGGGGCUAACUAUUGGAAAUGGAAUAAAUUCGUAAGGGAUGGCGUAUGGCAAAGAUUGGAUAACUUCUUUGAAGACAUCUGGAAUGAAACCAGUUGCAGUUACUGCUUGUGUUUUGGCAUCUAUUUCCACUUUAAUGAAUUGCUCCAGCCCUCCUUUGACAGGAACUCCAACCCUCAACUUCUUCCCACUUGUGGGUAUUUCCCAGCCUCUCGGAACAAUAAUAGAUUCACCAGGCCAAAUGAUGGCCGCUAGUUGCUCAUUCAUACUCUUAGCUGUUUUACUAUUCAUCUUCAGUUUAUGCGAAAUGCCAUCCUUCUCGGUCCAGAAUCCAAUGCUUCUCUCUCCUUUCCCAAUUAUAUUCACAAUCUCAUAUGUGUAUAGCUGCAAUUCUCCAUCAAUGAUACGGAAUUCACCACUUAGUCCUGUUUUUGGCUUUGUAUUUCGCAUAGAGUCAAGGAGCAGAGAUCCAAAUUCUGAGGUUCCAAGUGCAUCUAAGUCCGUUAAAUUCUCUCUAGUGUCUGCUUUCUUGAAUUUUGGGAUGAUGGUAGUGCCCACUUUUGCUAUUGCUUUUGUUAAUGCGGUGAUGCUAUCAUAUGCCCAUAGCCCGUAAACAUUGAGUUCAACUGGGUCCAUGUCUGGAUACUCUUGACGGAAUCUCUUUCUCCAUCUCCUCGUGUAAUUGUUAAGCUCAUUUGAUCUUGGAAUAUAAGGUUUUAUACCAAGAACACCUUGCAUUGAUGACUCAAUUACUGAAGUAUCUACCAGGUCCAGAAGACUCGUUAGCACAUCUGUGAUGAUCCAUGCAUAUCCACUGUUCAUCAUCCCGGUUUCUUUGGCCUUGAGGAAAAGGCGGGAGGCAAGAUGUUCUUGCAAGUGCACAAUGAACACCCUGGUCUGCAUUGUCUUCAACUUGUAUAGCUCCCUGAGGAUUUGAUCAUCAUUGGCUGAAGGAGAAAUACCACUUCUAUAGGAGACUAAAGUAUUGAUUUCCAGCAAGGCAUCAGUCAAAUAUGGAAGUAUCCCGGUUCCAUAGGGGCUUUCCUCAUAGAUUACUACAACCUCCCUCCAAUUAUAGUUUUUAACAAUUGCUGCAAUGGCUUUAGUCUGACUGGAAGAAGGAAGUGCGCCUCUGAUGAAGAAGGGAUUUUCCUUGACUGAAAGUGAAGGACUAGUUGCUGGAGAUAUUAUAGGAACUUUAACUCUGUUCCCCAAGUCGAUCACAAAAUCAGUUUGUGUAGACAUUUGUGGCCCAAAGAUAGCUUGCACUUGGACAUCCUUUAGCAAGUAUAUGGCUGCACAUACACAAUCAGACUAUAAGAAAUUGUCUGAACAUCUCUUUUUCAAAAUAGGAAAAGUAAUAUCUUAGAGAAAAAGUGAAUCUUUUGAAGCAAAGAGAGAAAAAUAAUCCUAGUUUAACAUAAGUAAAGCUUAGAGCUGAAUUUUACCAGCUGAUGCUGCUUCAACAUCAUCUUUCUUUGAAUCCCUGAUAUGAGGAACUAUCCUUAUGGCACCGCGACUAGUGUUGGCAUGAUAAUCUGCAAGAGCUAGUAAGAUAGAUAUGUGCAUUACUUUUCCCACAUCUGUUUCCAGAUCAAGAAUUAUGCCCACAUCCACCUUUACAGCACUAGUGUUAUUAUCUUCACCUCUUAUUCCAAUUACAUAGUGGCAAAAGCUAAUGAUGGAAACAAGUUGAAUGAAAAUAAUUAGGAAUUUGCAUCUUGGAUUAUGCAUUUGAAAAACUCUUGUAGAAAGUAAUAUGAGUGUUGGGCAAGAAGCAGUUGUGCUUGUGCAAGAUUUAUAACCACCAUUCAGAGAUGUGUUUAAAGGUAUCUUAACUAUAACUUUUCUACAAUUAAAUGAGACCAAACCUCAUAACUGCAGAAAGAAAAGUCAAAGUUUUCAAAGAAUUACAAAUGGUUUAAAAUAUACUAGUUUGAUUAUUAAAGAAAGAGGACUUUUCACACUUGUUAGACCACAAGCUAGUAAAGCCUCCUCAGUUUUGACCAAAUCAAUAAAUGACUAAAUGAACAUAGUGACAAAAUUGAUUUGUACUCAUUCUCCCAAUACCCAAAGAAGUUUUUGUAUUCAUUGGAUGACUAUCUAGAGGCUACUAAAAGGACUUCCCAUAUUUUGGCUAAGUCAUGUUGAAAGUUGAGUGCUAGCUCAGUUACAAAUAAGUAGAAGAGGUCAGUUUCUAUGACUUGGACAUUGGAAAAGGGCAGCUAUGACUAGUAAUCUUUAGUUUACUUAGACGGUUCAGUUUAGAAUUGGUCAGUAGUAUAAAACUUUAUGGUGGUAGAGGCACAACUUGUAGGGUUGUUCCGGGUUAUCGUUAAAAAAUCAAAUCAAACUUGUAGGGUUGUUUGGUUAGGUUUUAAAUUUUGAAAAUCAACACUAUUUGGUUUGGUUUGGUUUUAAAACUGUAAAAAUAACCAAAUUGAACGUGUAAUUAUAAUAAUUGCUUGAUUGAAUCCACAGUAACUUUCAUGUGUAUUGUUCAUGUACUAGGUGUCUGUGUUUAUAUGUCUUCAAAAAAAUUAUUACUUCCAAAACAAAAAAACAAAAAAAAUUGAACCAAACCGACAAUUAUUUUUUUAUUUGGUUUUAGAAUUUAGAAACCGACUAAAUUGAUCUGGCUUUGAUUUUAGCCAAUAAUCAAUCCAAAUCGAACCAUGAACACCUCUAGGCACAAAUAUAACUUGGUAUGUGAAGGAUUACUAUAAUACCUUUCCUUCAACUUUUUUUUAAAAAAAAAAAACCUCUAUUGGUAAAUUUUUCAAAUCAGUUUUUUUUACUCAUGAGCUCUAUUCCUUUCCCUUUUAUAUUUUUUAUAAUAUAAAAUAUAAGAUAAAAUAAAGAAUUUUUUUAAAAAGAAAUGAGAAAAAAAAUGAUGAAGAUGAGGGGUGAGGAGCUAAAGGAGAGAAGAAAGAUAGAACAUAAGAUGAGAAAGGUAGGGUCCCCAUAUUUUCUUUAUCAAAAAGUAAUUUCUUACCUACCAAAGUCAUAUUUAUGCCUCUACCACCACAAAUUUUUUCGUAUUAACUUGCUUGCAAGUUGCAAAACCAAACAAAGCAAGCAUACCCAAAUGGAGAUGGAAUCUUGGAAUGAGGAUGGUUGGGUAUACAUGUAGGUUUCAAUGUCAUUAUCUCAAUAUAUAUAUACUAGAGGGGCAUGGCCCGUGCUAAGCACGGGCCCAACAUAAACAUAGUUAGUCUAUUAUUCUCUAUAUAGGCAAAAUAUUGUUGGAAACUAUUCACUUAUAUAAGUAACUAAUUCAAGUUAUGUGUUUGUUAACAAAGUUUAUUCAUUCAAGCAUCUGCAAACUAUACACCAUACCAAACCACCAAUAAAGAAAAAGACAUGAAAUGUUAACACAAAUUAAACAACUUCAAAAGAAAGAAAGAAAAGAAGAAGAAUCAAGGAGGUGAAAGAACAUUAAAAUUUUGCAGUCUUAUCAGUCAAAUUCUAGUGGUGUCACAACUUUCACAGGGACCAUCAACUCUUCAACUUUUUGUACAUAUUUGCUUUUCAGUGCCAAUAAAUUAUUAUCUGUCGUUCCUGCAAGUUUUUGGAAAAAGUGUAUCAACAAUUGAUGCUAAAGAUCAUAUACUUUGUUUUGUAUUUUAUUUUACCAAGUAAAAAAGUCAGUAAUUGAUAUACCUAAUUUACUGCACUUAAGACAUUCUAGCUUCUAAAUCUAAUAAAACAAUACUAAUGAACACUUUUAAAUAAAUGAAAGAUGAUGGUACCUAAGGGAUGGAGUAAAUGAAUCAUGUGAAGUAAGCAAAUUGAAGUCAAAGUGAAUGUGUCAAUUACGUGGCCAUUAUAUCAAAUAUUUGUCAAUUCUAACCAAAAAGAAAUUGUUAGACAGUAAAUUUGUAAAACUUUAUAGAAAAUGACCUUUUAUUUUGUCUAUUUUGCCCUUUCAUGUGCUCCUUCAUGUCGCUUCCCCUUUCCAUUUUGUCGUCCCUCUCAUCUCAAUUCCCGUUUUGUUGUCCUCUCUUCCCAAUACUAUUUUUAUCCAGCUUGAUCUGGAAAAGAGGUAACUGACAUAUUAGUGUACUUAAUUUGGAACAAAAUCACUUGGAGAACAAUAAAGUAGGUAAUAAACACGAACAAUACUUAGACUCUGAAGUCUUGGUGAUAGUUAAGUAGUAGAAUGAGGAAGAGAUUAUACAAAUCAAUAGAGUUCAAACAACAACAUAUCUUAUCAAAUCUUAUCACUACCUCGUGGAGGUAGAGGUACUCUUUCCGAAAGAUCAAAUCACUGAUCUCGAUAGUUAUUGUUGAGUAGUUAAUACAUAAAUCUCUCCAGAGUAACAAAAAAAGGGCAGAUAGGGAUUAAAAGAAAUUAAGAAAAUGAAAUACGAUGCUACAUUUCUCAAGAGUUAAAAAGAGGGACAACCAAUUUGAGUAGUAGAUUCAGGUUGAUGGUGAUCUACUAUACAACUAAAUGGUGCAACAACUCAAAAUCUCAAGGAAAACAAAUCAAGACAUUCUUGCAAAUUAAAGGCACUAAUAAAACUGCGGCAGAAAUUCUCGUGACUGUGUGGUUCUAUAUGGAAAAUGACUUCCACAUGCUUGGUCUUAGCAAUACGCCAUGUGCACAAGGAAAAAUAUAUUAUAACCACGCGUUUCUUGUUACCGAUAAACAUGACUUAUGAGAAAGUCAGUUUUUAAGAGAAUUCGAAGAACAACAGGAUAAGAAACUACCCUUUCAUUUACUUUCUCAAACACUUAAUAAGGCUUCCGUUUUUUCAACAUUCUUGCAGAGUUGAUUGUGGAGAUCAACAAUUCAUCCAUUUGACCAUUAUCACUUGUAGACACACUAAACUGACAAAGAGUCUUAUAUCAGGGGUGUAUAAAUGAAAACCCCUUCUUUUCAUAUCUAUUUGAAUUGAUUAAACUUGUCGCACAACAAAUAGGAUCAACGUUUUCAGUAAUCAAAGGAAAGAAAAAAAUCUACAUCAAAGGCAUGUUAUAUGAAGUAUGUGAAAUAAGGAUUGUAGAAACGAAGGAGAAAUAAAGAUUUGAUUAGCUUACCAUUCAAAGUAAUUGUAGACAAACAAAGAAGAAGUGAAUAUUUGAUCACCGCUUACCGUUCAACUCAACUGUAGACAAACGAAGAAGAAGUGAUUGACCCUUAAUUUGGAAUCAAUUGAUUUUUUACUAUAUCUCGAUAAAAAAUUUAAUUUAUGUAACUCAUUUCUAUAUAAACAACCAAGAUGCUUAGAACAUACAUAACAUAUUCAAUGUGGCUUACUUCUAUAAAAAUCAUAAAUAAAAUAUAAAGGAAAGCUUCAAACUCUACCUAAUUAGUUCAUAUGAUCAGCAAAAUCCAAAAAACUUGAAAAAAGAAACAAAUUUGUACUCUCUUGCAGAAAUAAGUUUUGUCUUUUGGAAACAACCUCUCUAUCUCCACGAAGUAGGGGUAACAGUCUACGUACACUCUACCUCCUCAAACCUCACUUAUGGGAACUACACUGGGUAUGUUGAUGUUGUUGUUGUUGAAAUAAGCACAAAAGACUGGACUCUCACUAAAACUUCCGUAAAGAUCAAAUUCUUAAGUUUCAUUCUGCAACUAAAAAUCCCGAAAAUGAAGAAUCAGAUUACUCACAUUGACAAAAGUGGGGUAAAAAAUAACUUGAGCUUUGCUAUUCAAAACAUCAACAACUUCUUCAAUCCCAGAAAGUCUUUUAAUUGCCUUUAAAUGCCUAGCACUAUUUUUUUAAGAAGAAAUUACUGAACAACCUUAGUGAAAAUUCCAAAUUCGCCAUUGCAUCCAACCCCCGUCCCAUCCCUGGACUAUCCUACACCAGCUACCCUUAAAUCCUCACCCAUCCAUCCCAUUGAGUUUUGCUGGAUUACAACGGCCCCCAUCCCAUCCCUUGACUAUCCUAUACAAAAUGGAAAAUCUCUUCUCCAAGGAGUUAGGAGACAAUAAUCGACAUAACUAUGUCAUCUUAUAUAGGGACAAAAUGAAUACAAUCUCACCCUGUGGUCUUCGAAUCUAUAGUAGACAAACGGUAAGUAAAGAGAUAUUGUAUAACUGCACCAACUAUUCAUUAUUUCUGAAGUAAUACAGUGAGUGCAUCACAUGUUAAAGAAAUAAAAUUAAGUUUAUUACUUUUAUUCAUGAACAUGUACAACUCUUGAGAUGAACUUUAAUUUGUCAGUAAACUAUAAAAUAGAGGUAAUUUGUAAAGGCUUAAGCCUAUUGGAUUAGAUUAUGUUCUCCGUGGGGGCAGUUUUUCUUCAACUCCAAAACUGUAUACGUCACUUCUGGUGGUUAUAUGAUUUACAUAUGAGAGGCGACAAUUAGAAGCUGAGAAAAGAAAUGAUCUCAGGUUACAUGACAGAACAAACCAAGUAAUGUUACACUCCCAAUUUCUUUCAGGACACAUAGUAUUGAUAUUUGCGAGCAUGAAAGACUGAAGGAUUAAACAGAGGAGAUAACUCUUAAGAGAGACCUCAUCAAGAACUUAAGAAAAUUUGUGUGAUAAUUUAACAAAUUUAGCGAGGCUAAUUGAUGAAGGAAGUCUAUUCACACUAUAUUCAUUUUAGUGCACUUAUUGACUAAAUGUUUCCCAAGUUCGAAUGUGAGGCCUCUAUUUGAGGAUGUAAUAAAACAACAUUUACCAUUAGAACUAAUUGAGCAGCUUGUGUUAACCCUCUGUAUUUACCUGACGAAUAUGCUUUAAGGUGGAGGAAUUUUUUGCAGUAGUCUUCUAUUAAAACAUCAUUUAAGCUACCUAAAUGAAUGGACAACAUGUAGUUUUUCGACGCAGAAACAAAAAAUCUACCUAACAAAGAGACAGAUAUAUCAAAGAAGCCACAGGUCGAUAAUCAGAGUGUCCUAAAGAGUUACAUUUACAAAAGUUGAGGAGACUGGACACGCUGUCAAAUUAACUCAACACUGAUGCUGCAUUGAAAGUGAGAGUCCAUGUAAUGUGGAUACAAUUCAUUAAGUACACACAAAACAGUCAGCAACUAAUUUCAGUGAUGUGCAACAAAAUUCAUAUAACAUAGCCACCAAGUUGACCAUAAAAUCCAUCAAAACACAUUAAUGAGGAAUUCGUCUUACUUCAGUUUUGAAUUCCCCCGGCUUUUAAGUAUACAAGCCACAUUUUUACUGAAUUUUCUCUUCAAGUGCAGUAAAGUAGCUCAAAGAACAGAAAGCAAAGUUACAACUGACAACUACAUCGAGAAAGAGGCUACUAUGGACUGUCAAUUUUUACAUGUGAAUCCAAAAAUUAAGCUCGCAUAACAACGGGUAAUAUACCAAAUUCAUAUUAAAUUUUAGAUCAAACAACAUCAUUUAUCAUGCCAAAACAGUCUAGCUGUGCAACUUUUAAGCAAUUUGGAUACACUUAUAUCUAAAAAUUGGCUAAACUAUUGAUAAACGUACUAUCUAAUGCUGGAAAUAUGACAUAGUACAGUGAAUAUUGAUCAAUUUACUACCAUCGCUGCAUUUUGAUACUCCUUGAACAGAGAAACGGAUGGAAAUGGACCAGCCAAGCUACGCCUAAUUACACCAUCUCUAUCUUUUAACUACUUUUGUACUUGGCUUCCGAUUGACGCUCAGCUCAGGUAAAGCACAAGAACAAUUAGGAGUAAAUUGAAAUUGUAUAUUACCAGUGGUCAUAUACUCGGGAGUAGCACAACUGAAUUGUAUGGACAAAUCAUAAGAGGGCAACAGAAAUAUUGUUAAAACUUGUAGAAGACUAAAUUUUAAAGUAGUUUUAGAUACAGCAGCCAGCAAAAUGUUAGAUGAUUUGAAAUCCUGAUACAUAAUUUUAGCUUCUGGGCUGUGGAGAUAUGUCAGUCCUUUAGCUGCCUUGAGAGUAACCUUCAUUCGGAGAUUCUAUGAUAGCGGUUGGAAAUAAGCACUCCUCUGUUCAAGAUGUACCAAAGGUUUAUUCAAUGACAUUACACGGAUAAUAUUAGUGGAUGUCCUCAAAUUAGAUGUGGAUUCAAGAUUUCAAGUUUAUGGAUUUCUAUAAUGAACUAAGUUCAUAGUAAAAUAAAUUUCUUAUACAUGGUUUAGAAAAAACAAUUGGGUCCCCAUGAAUCUACAUAUCAUAUUGUGGAUCUGUUCUUGCGUUAAAUAUGCAGUUAUGGUUUCAUACAAACUAUACUUACUUCUGAAUAGAUGAUUUUCCAAACUUCCCCUCGGCAUGAAUUCGCACACCAGAAUCUUGUGUUCAUCUUCUAACCUGGCUCAGGUAAGCAAUUUUCGCCUGUAGUUUAAGUGUACAGAGAAAACAGUUAAUCAACUUAUCAAGAUCAAGAAUUAUAGGAAAGCUUCAAUGUCUUUGAUAAAACAAUCAUCGGAUAUUUUAAAGGGAAGAGUUUAUAUACCAAUCAUUCCUUGUGACCUUGAAAGCUUUCUUCAAGAAUUUCACUUUGACUUUGAGGAGUCAACUGAGCCGAUAAAUAUGAAUGUGAUCAUGGAAAUGAUGCCUAAUUAAUAUGUAUCUUUGUAUGUCUUCUGUCUGUUCCUAGUAAAAGUUGCACCAGUUUACAUCAAUUAAGUAAUAAACUGAAUAAGUUAUAACAUGACUAUCUUAUAGCUUAUUUCAAACUGAACACGUACAUCUUCAUUACGUUUUUUAAAAUUUAGUAGAAAUAGAAAUGUAUAAUGGUACCUGAUAAGCAAAUCAAAUUCGUGACUAUCUUCUUGGCUCAUUCGUUAUGGAUGAACUUGAAGUUUCAUAAUGAACUUACUUUCAGCAGGGUUAUAAGCAUCCAGAUCAUAAAAUUCUUCAGGGGCAAAUGGUAUAGGAACAAAUCUCUGAGCCAAUUUUGUAAUUCCCUCAAGGCGGUAACUAUUGAUUGAAAUCUGCAUUUUUCCAUAGCUUUCAGAUAAAUGAAUAAGAUGUGUUAAAAAUGGAGAUUGUUUGCUAUUUAUAUACCGAAACUUGCACUCUAUGAAAAAUAAAUAACUUAUCUUACAAAGAAUUCUUCAUGUUCAAAGAAAGUCUCCCGUGUCAUAUAAGCAAAUUAUAGUUUAUGUUUAUCUACAUAUACAUAUGUUAGUAUUCAACAUUAUAAUUCAACUGCAUAUCCAACUGGAAAAUUAAAUCAACUAAAGAGGGAGAAAUACUGGACUUUCCACAUAUGAGAAAGGGUUGUGAAAAUAGGGUAACUCUAAUAGCUAAUCCUUCCAGUUGAAAGUGUUUUUGAGAAAAAAAAUCAAAUUAAGUUCGAUGUACCUGAUAACGCUCAAUGUUCCCUGCAUGGCAUCUUCUCAAUUUCUUUCCUUUCCUUUCUUCUCCAAGUACUUGUAAAGUCCUAUUUAUGAAAAAUUAACAAAUUGAAAAAACACCCACAUCAAGAACAAAAGCGGAAGAAACACUACAUUUCAAUAAUCAAAAGCACAAAAAAUUGAAAUACAAAGCGGGACAACGGAGAAGAAGAGGAGUAAACGACCAUAACAACAACAUCCAAUCAAGUUUAGAUUCAGUACAUGCAACAUUACCACAACCUAAACACCAAAAUUGAUGAAUAAAAAAAAGUCGGAACUCAUCAAAUGAAAAAAUCGACAAAACAGAUCUAAAGUCAAAAGGCAAAACAAAAAUGAGAAGAAAGAAGGAAGGGAAGAAGCAGUGCAUACCUAGGAAGGUAUGCAAUUUAACUGAGAAUUUCAUAUGAGGGCUUGCAAAACCCUUCCAUUUUGCAGAGCAUUUUUUCUUGGGACAGAGAAUGGAUGCAGAGGAACAGGGAUAUAUCACAUAGCUAGGACACGUGUUUCACAGAUGAAUAUACAGAUACACAUUAGUUAGAAAGCAAUGAGUCAAAUUACCAAAUUAACCCUAUUGGUACAAUUAACUUGAAUUUUGGUACAACUUGUAUAUGUUGUGUUAGUCCGAACUCUUGUUGGCUGUAGAAGGACACGUGUAGCCCACGUGUUUAUUCAAUAGUGAAUAGGGCUUAAUGGUACAGUACAAUUUUUUAUACUAUUGGUACAACUUUGUAGAGCUGUGUUGGUACUCUUCUUGUUGGCUUAUAUAUAAGGGUAAAGAGCUGUGUUGGUACUCUUCUUGUUGGCUUAUAUAUAAGGGUAAAGAGCUGUGUUGGUACUCUUCUUGUUGGCUUAUAUAUAAGGGUAAAGAGCUGUGUUGGUACUCUUCUUGUUGGCUUAUAUAUAAGGGUAAAGAGCUGUGUUGGUACUCUUCUUGUUGGCUUAUAUAUAAGGGUAAUAUAUAUACUCCCUCCGUCCCAAUUUAUGUGGCACCCUUUAUUUAUAGUCUGUUCCAAAAAACAAUGUCAUCUUACUAUAAUUAGAAACAAGGGAAAAGACUCAAAUAUGUUAUUGAAAUUUGAGAAAAGACUCAUUUAUGUCGUCCGUUAAAAGUUUGGUUCAUCUAUGUCAUUUUCGUUUGAGAAAAAACUCAUCCAUAUCAUUAGUUGUAAACUAAAAAUAAUUUUGGUUUUGUAAGAUCAUUUUAUACACGUGGUCAAUUAUGAUUUGGCCAUGUCAUCAAUUAAAUCAUUUCUAUAGAAGAGAAAAGGUUCAAAUAUGUCAUCGAACUUUGAGAAAAACUCAUUUAUAACAUCCGUUAAAAGUUUGUCUCAUCUAUGCUAUUUCAGUUAAUAAAUAAUGGCAUGAAUGAGGUUUUUCUCAAAUGAAAAUGGCAUAGAUGAGCCAAUUUUUUAACGAAUGACAUAUAUGACCUUUCUCAAAGUUCGAUGGCAUAUUUGAGUUUUUUCACUAGAAACAAUUUCAUUUAAAAUUCACUGUUAUCCUUAAUGAAAUUAUUUACAAACACACAAAUAUCUAAGGAUUGUUUUAAAUCACAAGUUUAAAAGUCUUUUUUUAAAAAAAUAAAUAUAUCGUGUCAAGUUAAACAAUGCCACAUAAAAUGAGACGGAGAGAGUAAUUGUUAAUGCAAGAGGAAGCUGCUCGGGAAGUUACGUGUAUGAUGUUGAAGUUAUUUGACAUGCAAUUGAGGUGAUCCUAUAAUCUUCCAGUAGUUAUGACUAGUAAAAUCACUCAAUUUAUAAAAUAAUACUUAAAAUAUAUGAGUCAUUAAAACUAAAACACUAUAUUAUCUUACAUAUAAGAUUACAUAUAACAAACAUUAAUAAUGUAAGUAAAAAAAAAUUUGAAUAUGUUAACAAAUUUUUGAAUUUUUUCCUCAGACAUAUAUCACAAUUGUAAAAUCUAUGCAACUUAAAUGUGUUCUUGUUCUUACGAAACGCCUUUGUGUAUAUAUAUUCUUAUUUUAUUCUCUCUUUUUUUCCUUUUAAUGAUGAUUAAAUAACCAUUAAUUUAUUAUUUCCUGAAUAAUUCAUUCAUUAGAUGUUCUUGAGUUUAUGUGAUAAUGACAAAUAAUAGUAUAGAUUCUUUUAAGGAAUUUUUUACUGUACCUUCAACAAUUUCAUGAUCAGUAGAGAAAACUUGCAUGAAUACUCAAUUAACAUGUGUUGUUUAAUCUGUACUAACAAAUACUUAAAACAAUAACUUUGUAGAAACAUAAACACAAGUUUAAAACAUGUACUCAAAAACAAUAAUUAAUAACAUAAGCAUAAAUUAAUGAUUGUAAAAAAAUAUACCAGGAUCUGUAAUAAUAGGAUGAAACAGAAAGGAAAAAACUGUACACGAAUAUUUAAUUGUGCAGAUUAAGAAGAAGAAGUUCAAAAUUUUCGUUUUUUUAAAAUGAGAGGAAAUCACUCUAUUUAUAGCUAGACAACAAAGGGUAGUGUGAACAAAUGUUUAUUGUGCCUUAUCGAAAAGGUCACAACUCUUUGGAAAAGUUACAACUGUUUGGAAAGGUCAUAACCUUUCAUAAAAGACACAACUUUUCAUAAAAGUCGCAACUCUACAUAGAAGUUACAACUUUUCAUAAAAGUCGCAACUGUUCAUAUAAGUCGCAACUUUUCAUAAAAGUCACAACUUUUCAUUAAAGUAGCAAAUUUUUAUGAAAGGGGAAGGAUAGUUUUGUAAAUAUAUUAAUUAAAAAAGGAAUCAUGGUUUGUGAUGGCGCCACGUAGGCAGGCCUAGGAUUCUCUUUUAUAUAUAUAUAUGAUAUAUGAUAUGAUUAUUUACUGUGGUCGUUUUCUGAUAUGAUCACAAUAAGAUAUAACCGUCUAUUAUCUUUUAAACUUGUUUUUCUUUUUAGUUUGCAAUAUAUUUUGGAUUGGUAACAUUAGUAGUAUUAAAUUGUUAACAGCACUAGUUUGCAAUAUUUUUGGUUUCUACAAACAUUAUUUGCACAUAUUGAAAGAAAUAUAUAUGAUAUGGUUUCAUUGAAUUAUAUCCUCUACAUAAGCAGUGAAGACAAACAAAGUACUAAUGUUAUUUAAAUUGUCUCUAAAAUUUUGAUGAUUUAACAAACUUUGAGAUCUAACGAACGACCAGAUUCCAAGAGAGAUUGAGAGUUCCGUUUAUGAAAAAAACAGCGGUCUAAAAGCUGCAACACCUGCUGUGGUUGGUGCACGUAUUUUGCAGCAGACAUUCAGCCAAUAGCAGGGCAUUGCUUCAAGAGUUUGGGUCCAUCCUAUAAUACACCUCUUUGACAUUGACACAAACUCAAGUUUUUGCAAUAUAAAAAUUCACAACAGCAAAAGUCAUUCUCUCAGGGAAAUAUUUCUCGAUAAAUGAUAGAGUUAUCAUCGUUCUUAUGUGUUUUUAGGGCUUAUAUUUCUGUGCUUAUACUUGUAAGAUCUAUUCCUACGUUAUAAAGGAAUUAGAUCAUUUGAAGUUUUUUCUGAGUAUUCCGAGUUAUAUCUAGAGUUAGUUAUGUUGUAUUCUUGAAUUCUAGAUCAACUAUAGCUAGUUGAUUUAGUGGGUCAUAGAGUUAUUGCUUAGUUUUUGAGUAACAGAGUUGUUACUAUGAGGGGAAGGGAUUAAGAGUUUAAUUCCUAGGUUACAAGAGUUUGUAAUCUGAAGCUUUGCACUUUUGAUGAUAAUGGAGUUGGGUUAAAUCCUGUGAGACAGACCGUGGUUUUUUCCUCCCUUGAACAAGGGGCUUUCCACGUAAAACUCUUGUAUUUGUUUUAAUUUGUGUUAUUUAUUUUCCACACAAUUUUUCUUUCAAGGGACUUGGUCCAUUGACCGUUAGUGGACGCAUACAUUCUAUGAGUACUAAUAAGAUUGAAAAAGAAACCACUAAGAAAAAGUUAGGGUUAAAUCCAUCAAAUGGAAUCCUGGAGCCACCUCUUGAUGCUAAUAUUCUGGCCAAGAUCAGUAACAAAGAUAUAAUGUAAUCUGGUUUAACUAACCCUAAAGCUAGCUCAUCUCUGUGCAAUCUCAUAUAGGGCCCUAUUCAGGUGUGUCACAAUUAUGGUAGUAGCUAUAUGUGUCAUCUUUCUUCAAUUGUGUCUGUAAUGGUUUCAUGAACUGGAGUUCCAGGUUCUGUUGUAGAGAACCCUUCAGCAGCAGGGGAUGCUCCUAGUCCGUCGGAAAUUCUGAUUUCUGGGAUUUGCAAAGGAAGGUCAGGCAAUAUCUCAGGAGAAGCUUCACUUGCUGCGAGCAAUUUAGGUGCAUUGCUUUCAGAUGGCUUUUCUGACAUAGAAUUAGAGUUGUCUUUCUCUUCAUCAAAGACUUUUGCAAUUGCUGUAAGCUUCUGCCAUAUUGAAUCAUCAGUGGCUAAGAUUUCUCUAUUCUGAUUAAGGAAGUUGAGGAAGAAUAGGAGAAGAGCGAAGCCUGCUGAUACACCAGCUAUGAGGAAAAGUCCCUUAAACCUAUCUAACGUGAGGCUAUCAGAUGUUAUAGCCGUUUCAUCUUUCUGUGGACAAUCUGUUUCAUUCCCAAACCAUUUCUGUAUUAUGUUAUUCAUGAACUCUCCUUCCAUCACCUUCAAGACUGCUCUUGAGACGUCAGGUACCAAAGGAGAUCCUUUUGGAAAUGCCUGCAAUAAAAGAUUAGAUGAUUGAGUAAACAACAAAUCAUUCUAAAUAUAUGUUAACAGUGUCUGAAACAUCAGUGGAGUGUACAAUCUUACAAACCCAAAACCGGCAGCCUUGUAUGUCUGGCCGACCAUAACAUACUUCCUGCAGUACUUGUUGAGGAAGAGUCUGAGAUAAGGUAGUUCAUCAACAAUUGCACCUACACCUCCAUUUUUGCUUCCUCUUGAGAGGGCUUCAUCAUAUUCUUUCAAUGUGAUAUAACUUCUGAACUUGGAGCUGUCAAAUUUCAUGCGCUUUAUGAAGACAUCUUUGACAAAGGAACCUUCUUGGUACCCAACAUAUUCUCCAUUCUUGAUGAGAUCAUUGAGGUCUGUUAUAGUAGGUUGGAGCUGUUGCAGUGUCAACAUAGAUGUUAAGCUGGCUGUAUAACUUGAUGUCAGCACCAGAACCACAAAAACCCACACAAUCAGCAAAAAUCUUGUUAAGUUACUUGUUACCCUCUCUCCUGCAACAACCAGCCAUAACAUAUUCUCCAUUCUUGAUGAGAUCAUUGAGGUCUGUUAUAGUAGGUUGAAGCUGUUGCACUGUUAACAUAGAUGUUAAGCUGGCUGUAUAACUUGAUGUCAGCACCAGAACCACAAAAACCCACACAAUCAGCAAAAAUCUUGUUAAGUUACUUGUUACCCUCUCGGCUCGCUAAAAUGGUCACAUCACCUACAACUGCAUCAUAGUCCUGGCUCAAGCAAACAUUGAUUAUUCCAGUAUGUAUAGUUGAUUGUAAUAGCAGAAAAUAGAUAUCGAAGUCCCAAAAAGGACCAUGUUAGUAAGAUAUAGAGCCAAAGAGGUUUAUUGGAACAGAGAUUAUAUAUUACCUGAGAAGUGAUCUUGUGAACAAGAUCAUCAUAGUAUGGAAGAGUGAGGGGAUCUUGUAUUGGAGAUGGAAUAAAUUCGUAAGGGAGAGCAUAUGGCAAAGAUAGGAUGACUUCUUUGAAGACAUCUGCACAGAAACCAGUUGCUGUUACUGCUUGUGUUUUUGAAUCUCUUUCCACUUUAAUGAGUUGCUCCAGCCCUCCUUUGAGAGGAACUCCAACCCUUAACUUCUUCCCACUUGUGGGCAUUUCCCAGCCUCUUGGAACAAUAGUUGAUUCACCAGGCCAAAAAAUGGUUCCUAGUUGCUCAUUAUUACACUUAACUGCUGUUUUACCACUGUUUUACUAUUCAUCUUCAGUUUAUGCGAAAUGCCAUCCUUCUCUGUCCAGAAUCCAACGCUUCUCUCUCCUUUCCCAAUUAUAUUCACAAUCUGAUAUGGGAUUGGCUGCAGUUCUCCAUUGAUGAUACGGAAAUCACCACUUAAUCCUUGUUUUAGCACUGUGUUUCGCAUAGAGUCAAUGAGCAGAGAUCCCACUGCUGACGUUCCAAGUGCAUCUAAGUCUGUUAAGUUCUCUCUGGUGUCUGGUUUCUUUAAUUUUGGGAUAGCAGUAGUGCCCACUUUAUCUAUUGCUUCUGCUAAUGAGGUGAUGCUAUCGUAUGCCCAUAGCCCGAAAACAUUGAGUUCUAUUUGGUCCAUGUCUGGAUACUCUUGACGGAAUCUCUUUCUCCAUCUUUUCGUGUAAUUGUUAAGCUGAUUUGAUCUUGGAAUAUAAGGUUUUAUACCAAGAACACCUUGCAUUGAUGACUCAAUGACUGAAUGAUCUACUGAGUCCAGAAGACUCGUUAGCACAUCUGUGAUGAUCCAUGCAUAUCCACUGCUCAUCAUCCCGGCUUCUUUGGCCUUGAGAAAAAGGCGGGAGGCAAGAUAUGGUCGCAAGUGCACGACGAACACCCUGGUCUGCUUUGUAUUCAUAUUGUAUAACUCCUUGAGAAUUUGAUCAUCAUUGGCUGACGGAGAAAUAACACUUCUAUAGGAGACUAAAGUGCUGAUUUCCAGUAAGGCAUCAGUCAAAUGUGGAACUAUCCCGAACCCAUAGGGGCUAUCCUCAUAGAUGACCACAACCUCUCUCCAAUCAAAUUUUUUAACAAGUGCUGCAAUGGCCUUAGUCUGGCUGGAAGAAGGCAGUGCUGCUCUGAUGAAGAAGGGAUUUUCCUUGACUGUAAGUAAAGGACUUGUUGCUGGAGAAAUUAUAGGGACUUUUGUUCUGUUCCCUAAGUCAAUCACAAAAUCAGUUUGUGUUGACAUUUGUGGCCCAAAAAUAGCUUGUACUUGGACAUCCUUUAGCAAGUAUAUGGCUGCACAUACACAAUCAGACAAUAAGAAUUUACCCAAAGUAAGAGUUUAAUAGAAGUGAAUCAUGGAACUGAAUUUACCAGCAGAUGUUGCUUCAACAUCAUCUUUCUUGGAAUCCUUGAUAUGAGGAACUAUCCUUAUGGCACCGCGACUAGUGUUGGCAUGAUAAUCUUCAAGUGCUAGUAAGAUAGAUAUGUGCAUUACUUUUCCCUACAUCUGUUUCCUAGAUCAAGAAUUAUACCCACAUCCACCUUUACAGCACUAGUGUUAUUAUCUUCACCUCUUAUUGGAAUUACAUAGUGGUAAAAGCUAAUGAUGGAGAUAAGUUGAAUGAAAAGAAUUAGAAAGUGGCAUCUUGGAUUAUGCAUUUGAAAAAACUCUGGUAGCAAGUAGUCUGAGAGAUGGGCAACAAGCAGUUGUGCUUGUGCAAGAUAACCACACAUUCAGAAUGAUAAAUUUUCCUAUAAUUAAUAAGACCAAACUCCAUAAAUGCAGAAACAAAAGUCAAAGAACAAAUGGUUGAAAAUCAAGUAUUCG
rnacentral:lncRNA from 1 species